AAUCAAAUAAAUUGAAAGGUUGAAUAAUNCUGCUACUGAAUUGUUUUUUUUGAGAAUAAGGUAGCAAAGCUACCUGCUUCAUUCAUUAAGCAAAAUUCUGCUACUGAAUUGUUGAUGGGAACAAUAUUACUCAACAAGAAAAUUAUUAUUAUUAUUAUAUAUAUAUAUAAAAUUUGCAUGCAACCUAUGUAGAAAAGGUUAUUUGUACGAGAUAAUAAGAUUAAUCACGCGGCAAAAAUUUGAAAAGUUUGGAUGACUCAACACAUUAUUUUCUAAAAUUCACGAGUUAUUUUUUUUUUUUGAGAAAAAGAUAGCACGCUACCCGCUUCAUUCAUUGAAUAAGUGAACUAGACUACACGAGUGAGAAAACGAGGGCCCGAAAAAAAAAUUCACAAGUUAUUAGUUACCAGAAAAGAUAAGUACAAUGUAUUCUACUAAUUUCUAGUAAUUGUACGUAGGUUGAUGACUACUUAGUUAACCUUUUAUGGGCCUAUUGCAUCAUCUAAAGAGGGCAAAGGGAUUGGUUGUGUCUAGGGGUGUCAACGCGCCUAACACGAGCUGACUCAUUAAAGUAUUGAAUUGAAAAAUUUAGCUCGUAUUCGAUUCAUUUAUUAACGAGCUGAACAUAAAUUGGUUCACGAACAACAAGUUAAAAGAAUUAUAAACGAUAUAUAUAGAAAAUAAAAUUUAUGAAAUAUUACUCAUUAGAUUUUGAUCUAAUGAUUGAAACUUGUAUAUAAAUAGGCCUUUUUUUAUAAUUGAGUUGCGCUUUAUAUUUAGAUUGGAUUAAAAAUCAAAUAAUAAAAAAAUAUAUAUAUUAUAUUAUAUAAAUUAUAUAAAUACAAAAUAUAUGUAUAGGAGCUGUUAUUUAGCCAAGCACGAGUAAACUGACCCGAGCUCAUGUUCGGCCCGUUUAUUAAAUGAGUUGAAAAAUUCAGCUCGUGUUCAACUCGUUUACUAAACAAGCGAUUCGAUCCCGAAGUCGCGAACAACGAGCUGGAUUGCCACCUUAGUUGUGUUAAUAAUUAAUCUUCUUCAUAUUGCGCGCAUCUUCUUUUUGAAGAGCAAUGCACCACCACAUGAAUCAAAACUAACCCAUUUUGGCUUAUUAUUCAAUUGAUUGACUCCUUUUUUUUUUUCUUUUUUUUUUUUUUUUUNGAUAAAAAAUAAUUUCAUCUUUUACUUUCAGAAAAACAAAUAUGCCCUUUUGUGUAUGACGUGAUUUUAUGGCUUCUCAGGAACAGGACGAUGUCCGAGUUUGCGAAAGAUUGAUUACAUUUUAUUUAUAGCUAAUACCUCAUACUUGUGGCUCCUUGCAAAUUUGCCAAUUUUAUAUUUGACCGUUAUUCAAACGAAAUUCCAUUUCUAUAAUCUGUAUAUCGAAUCUCUUUUGGACUUGGUUCGGAAACCUAUUUGCGAAAGAUUGGUCGAGAGAGGGUUUCGUCGCAUUUUUUUUUUUUUUUUUUUUUUUUUUUGUGUGUGCAUGGAAUCCAAUCCUUUAGCUGAGAUAGUUUACUCUAUAGAUAUAUACCAUUUAUAUAUUUUACAUCAAGGUCAAAUAUUCGGAUUGAUCGAUCGCCAUUAUACGACUAUAUAGCCUUUGAUUCCUCUCCGUGUCAAAAUUUAUACAACUAAGCAAAGAAUUAAGAUCGAUCAAAGUGCACUAACCCGGCCGAUUAAUUCCCCAUCCAGAAUCUAGAAUAGUUGACAAAACAGGCCAUGAACACAGUAAGUAACAAGAUAACAAUGUAUAGCCCAAAACUUUGAACUUAACUGAACCAUAAAGAAAUGCUUUUUUAGCUUUAGAAUAUUACCAAAGAACAAUCUUUAUCACAAAUGAAUAACAGCGCAGCGUGACACGCUUGCAUAAGAUCGAAGGUGCAGGUUCUGCACUUUUGUAACGAUUCGAUCCGUUAACAAUAAUAACUCAACUGCCGGUUCAAAAUACUAAAGCUCAGUUAUUAUAAGUGUCCAUAAUGCCUUAUAACCCAAUCACAACCCCGUUCUGCGCACUCACAUUUUCGUCUGAUGCCAAAUAUAACGAUUCAGCCUACUAACAAUAAUAACUCGUUAGGCCCCAAAUCACUAACCCAAAUUGAUUAAGCCCAAUUAUUAUUAUCCAAUCACAAUUUCAUUCUUAUCUGAUGUGGGACUAUUAGGGUAUCAUAAAUUUUUUUUUCUUUUUUUGGGGAUUUUUUUUCGAUGGCCCUGUUGCCUUAGUCUUAUAACUUAGUUUGUUAAUCUAAUGAACGAAUCAGACAGCUUGCUAAUUUUUCUCAGAAAAAAAAUAAAAAAAAAUCUAAAAUGUUUACAUUUUGAAUCAAAGAUCAGUACUUCCUAACAAUCAACUGUUGCAAUUGUCAAUUUGGAGGCUACUAAAGAGUUCUGCAACAUAUAUUUAAUGGCCUGGACCUUCACUAUAAAUGCCCUAAAUUUGGUUUUGAAAGGGAAGUAUAGAUAUUUUUUUGAGUGAUAGAUAUCAUGUCACCCGGUUCGUUUAUUUCUUUUAGAAAUAAAUUUAGUUGGAAAUAUGACUCAAUUAGAAUUCGAACUUGGGACCUCAGAUACUAAUCAUCAAGCCCUUUGCCAGGUAUAUAUUAAUGCAUGAAUAAAUUCCUAGUCCAACUCAUGGUUUUUGUGCUUCUACAUGACUACAUGCACCUUUUUUGGAAGGUUUCGAGCAUAUUGCCAAGGCCAAGAUAUUAUUCAAAUUAAAGAAUUUUGGUGAGCAAGAAUUUUGGGAGUAUUCUAAUUAAGUACAUCACAAGACUCUUUAGUUUACAUUAUGCAUAUCGUAAGUACGAAAAAUUGAGGUUGCAUUUGACUAUGACACGAUGACCAAAUCCGCUGAAUUAGAUAUUUUCAUUCUUUGGUGUAGGUCUCUAGUUCGAAUCCUGUACAUGUUGUAUAUAUAGGUUUUUCUAACAGAUGUAUAUGUACAUAUUUGGAAAAAAAAGGGCCAAGGAGUUAAUUUCAAUUGUUCUAUAGUUUAGGGGUUUCUAAGGAAAAUCCCAUAGAGUCGGCAUUGUGGCUUCCUUCGCCAGCGACUUCACCGAACUGCGGCCAAACGAACAGUUUCUGCAUGGAAUUCGCAUGAAUACGGCGGCGCAAGCUAUUUAGCCGCCGACUUCAACUAAACUCGGCAAGUUUAGUUGCUUCGCCGCCGACUUAGCCUCUACACUCCCCAUUGGCUCGUUAAGGUAAAGUCGGCGACGAAUUUGAUGCUGGUAUCCAAGAACGUGCGCUAUCCCUAGAACAAAUUUUCUUCUUUUUUUUCCCCCCAAAACUAGUUCUCUUUAUUAUUAUUUUUUUUCCUACUAAACUAUAAUAAAAUGCCAAGAAAUUAGAUUUGGUAAUUACUGAUUUUUUUAUAUAUUUAUGGAUGCUUUGAAGAGAAAGAUAUAACAUCCAUAUAUUUUCGCGAAAUAGAAGGAAUAAAGGACAAAAAAAAAAAAGAAGGUUAUUUGCAUAUACGUCCCUACAAACAUAGUGAAUUGCAGAUAUAUCCCUACAAAACGGAAACUCCAUAAGUUGUCCCUGCAAAAGUCACAAGUUAUGCAGAUAUGUCCAUACUGUUAGAGUCUGUUAGAAAAUUUUCAUUAACCAUGGUUAAAAUAUUUAACCAUGGUUAAUUAUAAUGUAAAUUUACGGUUCUACCCUUCCUCUUCCUCUUCCUCCUCUCCUCUUCCCUCUUCUUCGUCGCCGGCGAGGGAGAUGCGGCGGUGGCGGCGGACCCUCUCCCUCUUCCUCUUCCUCCUCCUCUUCCUCAUUCUUCUUUCUCUCCCUCUUCCUCUUCCCUCUUCUUCGUCGCCUGCGAGAGAGAAGAUGCGACGGCAGCGGCGAACCCUCUCCCUCUCCCUCUUUCUCUUCUUCUUCCUCUUCCCUAUUCUUCUUCCUCUCUUUCUUUUUCUUCCCUCUUCUUCGUCGCCGACGAGUCCUACCCGCGCCGUCGCCGCCGUCCGCUCCGGCGGCCCGAAGAGGAAGAGAAAGAGAAGGGGGAAGAGGAUAUUUUUGAAGGGACAUAUUUGUGAGGGUAAAAAUAUUAUUUUACAAAUUCGCUGUUAAAAAGUUAACAGUUCACUAACGGAUGUUAACCAGAGGGACAUAUCUGCAUAACUUGUGACUUUUGCAGGGACAACUUAUGGAGUUUCCGUUUUGCAGGGAUAUAUCUGCAAUUCACUAUGUUUACAGGGACGUGUAUGCAAAUAAUCCAAAAAAAUAAAGAAAAGAAAAGUUAUUAGUUCAAUUGCCUUGGCUUUAUAUCUUAUAUGAAAAUUUUAUUACCAUUUUCAUCGGAAAUUUUGUUUACCAUAAUGACCUGUUGUUUACAUAGGAUAACCAAGUUUUAUACUUUACAAAAACCUUGGAGAUCAACCAAAUAGAGCAAAUCAAAUUACUAGAGCUCGUAAUAAUAUAUAAAGGAUAAACACAAAGGUAAAUUAAAGGAUGUUUUGUUCCCUAGAAAAUAUCAUAGAAAACAGUUUUCUGACUAGAAACUUAUAUUUUCUAUCCGUUUGUUUCCCAAAGAAUUAAAUAGCUAGUUUUCUUGGAAAUUUUUUUUUUUCAUAUUAUUUUGGAAAAGUCCCCCUUUUUUUUUCGAAUUUUUAUCGAGAAACCAGAAACUACGAAAAGCCAUGUUUUUAUGAUUUUUUUAAGGAAAUACUUUUCCACAAUUUUCAAAGGAACCAAACACCCUUAAGAAUAGAUAUAUAGAAGGGCAUAUUAGCUAUAAAUGUAGUAUUUAUAUACUUUGUGGAUUCUCAAAUUGGGCUGCCCAUGGUUUCAUAUUUGGGUUAGUUUGGGUUUAGGUUCGAAUACAUGUUAAAUUGAAGCCCAAUAUUACUUCAAACUUUUUCUCUUUGAGGCUAUUGUUUCUACUCGUUGGCCCCUCAUAUAUGUGUGUGUGUGUAUAUAUAUUAAUAGGAGUUUAAUUUUUUUUUAAAAAAGAGAAAAGGUUGUAAAGGCACAUCCUAUAAAUGAAUUUUCUUUUUUUUGAAGAUGAUUUGCCACUGUAAAUAGAGUAGUGCUGGUCUUUAAUAGCAGCUUCCUAAUUUGUUAAAAUUGCUUUUCUAUUUGUGGCUACUCCACCACGCAUGAACCCUUGCUUUAAUUGGUGUUUGAACAUAUAUUUGUAUAUAUGUUGACAUACUUUUUCUUUUCUUUUCUUUUCCUUCUCUCUCCAUUCCUUUUGUGAAUAUAUAUAUAUACAGAAUAUAAUUUUACCUCAAAUGUCAUCCAUGUAUAGAGCUAAUUAACUAAUACAACGAAAAAUUAACUAAUUAGAAGGAAAAAUAUAGUUUCUUUCUUUUCUUUUAAGAAAUAUAUAUAUACACAAUUGUGUUGCUCCAUCUGUUUAUUAUGGCAAUUUUCUUUGGGAGCAUGCAUUUGUGAAUUCUCUUUUCAUAUAUAUGGAGAAAAAAACUAUUUACUUUUUGAGAGAUCGAGCAAUGGAGUAAUGGCCAUGUUAGUGUAACUUCUAUACAAGUUGCAAUGUGUGGGCACAUGCACUACACUAACAUGAGCACUAUUCUCAUUUGAAAGCAAUAGGACAUGAAAGAGGAAUGUUAUUAGGUAGUGGCUUCAAAAGCUCAAAGGUUUGAACACUUUAAAAUCUUUUGAUAGGAUUAAUGAUAAAACUUUAAAAGCGAGUGGGAAGCGAUUGACCAACCUUUGAUUAAUUUACUUCUUAACGAAUAAAUUUUAUCUAGAACAUGGUAUAUAAUUAGAGAUAUUUUGUAUCUUGUUUGAUAUUUUCCUACUAGUGUAAACUUGGUGUUAGUGCUCUUCGUGAAGUUCAAACCCAAAUAAACUUGGUUUAAAAUUUGUAAUUAACCAUUUUACUUGAAGUUGUCCCUCUAAAAUGAGACUAUUUAAUUAAUUCCCUUAUUUCCUAAUUACAAGAGUGAAAAAUACUAUGUAAGAUUUAGCCAUGAUUUUUUAGCAUAUUAGUAUCAUAUUAAAUGAAUUUACAGGGCAUACUAUAUAUACAAACGACAAAUUAGACGAUGUCUAGGUAUACUUAAUUGAUAAACCUAGAUCUAAUUAAUUCUUUGUAGGGAUUAGCUUAGGCACUUUAUUCUACACCACUAUCUUUAAUCACUUUAGCAUCAUUUGCUAUUUAUAAAUGGCAAAACAGUAAGUAGCUUACUCUUGAAGUUAGGUAAAACCAAGCAUGCAUGGAAAAAUUUGAGUUUCCAAAUGAUGGCAUCAUAGGUAUAUUUUGGUUACCUUGAAUAUAUGGAUUAGCAAAGAGAUAAGGUAGCAUCAGCAAAGUAUAAUAUAUUAUCUACAAGAUAAAAUCUAGUUCUAGUAAAUAUUCUACAAUAGUAAUGUUCUUUAAUUUCUAUAUCUCUCUUAAGCAUCUAGUGUUGGGAAUCCGGUACUCGCCCCGGUACCGGAUCUCGUGAAUCCGCAACCCGCUCCGAUACCGGCUGCUGUGGAUCCGGUAUCCAUUGUUUGGAUUCCGCAACGGAAGCGUCGAAUCGGGUUUUUACCAUAAACCCGUCUCCUCAGCAAAAGCUGAUACAAUCAUAAAAGAGAGAAAAAAUCAAAACAGAAAAUAUGCAGGUAAAAUAAGAUUCAUUAAAUAAGAGAAGAUUAUACCUGACUCCUCUUCUGCAACAGAGUAGCUACAACCCUAGCCCUCUUUUUUGAAUCUCUCCUACCUUUCUCUCGUCUUCUAUGAACCCACAAAGAAGACCUCUUCGCGUGCACCCGUGCAUAAGGUGCACUAAAAUAACUCUCUCUCUCUUUUUCUCUCUAUGGUACGGCACCCAAGCUUCAGCCGUACUGCCCUCAAAAAAGAGAGUCACAAUGACUAUUUAUAAUGCUCAACUUAAAACGUACCCCAAUCUUAAUAUAUUUAAGAUUCAUACUUUAAUUAAUAUCUAAAUCUAUCUUAAUCAAUCUCUAAUAGAUUUAAAUAUUAAUCCUAAUCUAGUUAGGUUUAUCCUCUAAUUAAUAUUUAAAUCUUAAUUUAUCUCAAACAGAUUUAAAUAUUAAUUCUUAUCCAAAUAAGAUUUAACUACAAAUCUAACCAAAUCCUAACAUUCUCUACCUUGGUUUGAUUUGAAAUUUUCAACCGCUACGUCAAGCUCACCAUGCAAGCUCCACCUUGAGCUUGUCUCCUCCGCUCGAUGUCGCCGCAUCCGUCGCUCUGUCUCGAGCAACUGCACAUCCGCGAACUUUUAGAACCCAAACUGUCUUCGCUCCCGUUCUGACUGUGCUCCCGUUCAGAACGUAUAAGUUCCCACGCUUGUUCGCCUCGCAUACGACCCGAUCUCAUUUUCGGACCCUCAUAGCUCCACCUGAAGCUGAAAUAUCGCAACCCUUCGAGUCCAAUGCGCCUAACGAGAUCAAAUUCCGCUUCAAUCCAGGAACGUGCCGCACACCUGUCAGCGUCCUCACGACCCCAUCGUGCAUUCGGAUUUUCACCAUGCCGACUCCCAAUACUUUGCACGCUGUCCCGUUCCCCAUCAGCGCCUUUCCACCUUUGAUCGCCUUAUAGGUGGCAAAAGACUCCUUCUCCGGGCAUACGUGAAAAGAACACGCCGAAUCGAGCACCCACGCAUCGUCCGAAAUUUUCGCACCUCCGGUCGCCGCAUACAGCACAUCAGAAUCGAUCAUCUCCGACUCUGCUGUCUGCGCCGUCGCUGAUACCGUCUCGUCCUGGUUCACGACAGUUUGCUCCUUCUGUCGCUUUAACUCCUUCAGAUCAUCCUGAAGUUUUCGACAAUUGCGCUUGAUAUGCCCCUUCCUGUGACAGUAAAAGCAUUCUACCUCAGAUAGCGGUUUCUUCUGUCGAUAUCCGGUCGCCGAUAUUCUCGCCUCCUUCUUCGCAGUCACCACCAGUCCUACAUCCUGACUUUGCGUGCCGGACUCCUGAGUCAUCUUCCGCAUCUCGUUCGAGAGAAGCGCCGCCGUGACCGCCUCCACGCUUAUGGACUCCUUGCCAUAAAGCAACGUGGUCACCAGAUGCUCAUAUGUCGUCGGUAGCGAAGAUAGUAGGAUCAACGCCUUGUCUUCGUCAUCCAGAUUGACUCCGAUGCUGGUCAACUGGGCCACCACCUUGUUGAACUCAUUUAGAUGAUCAUGUAGGCUCGCCGCUUCUUGCAUCCGCAACGUAAACAGUCGCUGCUUCAGAUACAAUCUGUUCGUCAGGGAUUUGGUCAUGUACAGAUCUUCCAAUUUCUUCCACAAUUUCGCCGGUGUCGUCUCGCCGGCUACAUUGUAAAGAACCUCAUCUGCUAAUGAUAGAUGAAGCGUACUCAGCGCCUUCCGCUCCAUCUUCGUCCAUGCCGCAUCCGUGACCUCCGCCGGCUUUGCCUCCUUCCCGUUCAACGUCUCGUCUAACUCUUGCUGUACGAGGAUUGCUCGUACUUUAAUUUGCCAUAAUCCGAAAUUGUUCUUGCCGUCGAACUUCUCGAUUUCGAAUUUCGUGGCCAUCUCCGUCGAUCUCUCCCGCAGAUCGGUAACCUUCGGCUCUGAUACCACUUGUUGGGAAUCCGGUACUCGCCCCGGUACCGGAUCUCGUGAAUCCGCAACCCGCUCCGAUACCGACUGCUGUGGAUCCGGUAUCGAUUGUUUGGAUUCCGCAACGGAAGCGUCGAAUCGGGUUUUUACCAUAAACCCGUCUCCUCAGCAAAAGCUGAUACAAUCAUAAAAGAGAAAAAUAUGCAGGUAAAAUAAGAUUCAUUAAAUAAGAGAAGAUUACACCUGACUCCUCUUCUGCAACAGAGUAGCUACAACCCUAGCCCUCUUUUUGAAUCUCUCCUACCUUUCUCUCGUCUUCUAUGAACCCACAAAAAAGACCUCUCCGCGUGCACCCGUGCACAAGGUGCAAUAAAAUAACUCUCUCUCUCUUUUUCUCUCUAUGGUACGGCACCCAAGCUUCAGCCGUACUGCCCUCAAAAAAGAGAGUCACAAUGACUAUUUAUAAUGCUCAACUUAAAACGUACCCCAAUCCUAAUAUAUUUAGGAUUCAUACUUUAAUUAAUAUCUAAAUCUAUCUUAAUCAAUCUCUAAUAGAUUUAAAUAUUAAUCCUAAUCUAGUUAGGUUUAUCCUCUAAUUAAUAUUUAAAUCUUAAUUUAUCUCAAACAGAUUUAAAUAUUAAUUCUUAUCCAAAUAGGAUUUAACUACAAAUCUAACCAAAUCCUAUCAUCUAGUUAAAGUAAAAGGAAAAGCAACAAAUUAAACACUGGUUACUGUUUUGAGGUCAUUAGCUCACUUUUUCCUAGUUAAAGAAGUAAAGUAAAUAAUUAUAUAUUUGAUAUCAUUUGAAGCUCACUUUAAUUAAUUGCAUGUAGGCAAGUGAACUCCCUCAAGAGAGUGAGAGACAUAAUAUUCAUCUCUUUCCAUUUUUCGCGUUAUUUCCAGCCCCACAAACCGACCAAAUCUUUUCGAUCUCUUUAGUUGUUAUCUUUAAUUCUUGCCUUUCUCUUUUUUCUUAACCUCAUCAAGCAAACAUUUUGAUGCUUGUAUAGUACAAAUUAGACUGUUAGCAGGUCGAUCAAUUAAAGUGCCUGCAAACAAAAUUAUAUUGCAAUUAAGGAAAGAGAAAACAAGAAUUUAUCAAUAAAGCUUCAACAUUCGAUAACAAGAAAAGAAAAAGUACUAUAUAUAGAGAGAGUGAGAUGCAUGAUAUAUAUAUAUAUAUAUAUAUAUAUAUAUAUAGAGAGAGAGAGAGAGAGAGAGAGAGAGAGAGAGAGAGAGAGAGAGAGAGAGUUUUAGAUAUACCCUAGUGCACUACAACAAAAACGGUUUAUAGCGACACUUUUAAAUGUCGGUAUAGGUCCAAAAAAGUGCUGCUGGCUAAAUUACCGACACUUUUAAAAAGUAUUGCUAUAUGUAGGGUCGCUAGAUAUAUAGUGACAGUUAAAGAGUGUCGCUAUAACCUAAAAAAGUGCUGCUAAUUUAGCAAUACUUAUUUAAGCAUCUAGCAACCGUCGGAACUCUAUCUCGUUGGCUGCGGUGGCGGAGGAGAAUGAGAGGGAAGGCCCCUUCGUCUAGAAUUUCAGUGGAUUGAGUGAGAGGAGAAAGGGAGAUGGUAAUCGAUUUUUCUUUUUUUUUUUUCUUUUCUAUUUAGAAUUGGGCCAAAUGGCUGAGUUGGGUGGGUUGAGUAUAGUAACCUUUUAUUUUUUGUUGGAUUCGGCUUUAUAUUUAGGCAUUAGUAGAUGUUUUUUUUAAUUUUGACAUAAAUGGAAUACUUAAACAAAAGUGUCCCAAACAUGUGUCCCUAUAACCUAAUUUUGUUGUAGUGGUGCUCCAAUGAAAGAGAAUAAAAGAUUCUUAUGUUCUUCUUUUCUUUAGGUAGUGUAUAAACUUAGUGGAAAUGUAAUAUAUGUUGGAUGAAACUUGGAAGAAGCAUAACUCUCAUACGAUGAUACUACGCCAGUGAAUGUUUCGUAUUAUACACAACGAAAAAGAAGGGAAGGUUUGUGACGGUAAAUCAAUCCAUGUGCUUGCGAGAGAAGAGAGAAUAAAGUGGAAAAAUAAGUGAGAGGAAUAGAACGCAGAGAAAUGAGAAGUAAAUAUAAAAAGAGGAAAGAGGAGAAUGUGUGGCGAUUUGAGAGUGUCUUACUUUGAUGCCUUGUAUUGAAAAGAAACAAUGAGUUGCUACAAGAAGGUAAAGAAAAAGAAAAGAGUGUAUAUUGGUGGGAUAUAUAAAUUAAUAGGACAAUGACUUAUUAGAUGUGGGGUAUAUAGCCUAUAUUGGUGGUUUCCCUUUGGAGAGCAUGAAAUUGGUGAGUUAGAUCAAUGUUCUUGAGUGCAUCAAAACCUUAAAGAAGUAGUAUAUCCAAAAGGUACCUGAGCAUAUUUGCUAUGUGGCAAUACAUAUAUAUGUUACAUCACAACAAUUUCUCUUAAUUAGUAUAGUGGAGUGUGAUCCACACCAUGCUCCUUAAAUAUUUCUUCUCUUUUUGGGGGGCAAAAUUACUAUCCAUGCUUGUGUCAAAACAGUCACUAGAGCUCAAUUAAAGUGUUCGGAUUAAUAAAGAUAAGAACAAAGCAUUUCUCCUUUUCUUUUUGAGAAGGAAAAUAUAUAGCUUUAACAAUAAUGCUUUUUUUGUGAAGAGUUGUGUGCCGACGCACGAAGGGAGCAUGAUCACUGUAAUUAGAGAAUAAUGCGUUAUAAUAUAGUGACCUCACAAAAGGAAGGGAGUGUCCUUGUCUAUACUAGGAGAACCUAAUCCUCCACUUUAGUGGUGUGAUGUAAAUAUGUUCUAGUAACGUUUCUUCUCACUUAAGAAAAUAAAAAAGGGACCAAUAUUGGAGAAGUGUUGUGAGAGGAUGAGGCUUUGAUGGUGAAACUAUGUUUGCUUGUUUUGUAAGGUCCAAACAUAUGAGUGAAGUAUAUUCUUCAAAUAGUGAAGUUCCUUGUGCAUUGGUUUGGAUUCAUCUAACUAGUGGAGGAGGUUGCUAUUUGUGGUUCCUCUUCUAGAAUGGUUUCAUUUCCUAGUCUAGAAAUGUCCUCCACACAAUAAUAUUCUUAUUUAUCUAGCUAUUUGGAGGUUAGUGCCAAACAACCGUUAUAUUCUAAGACUGCGUUUGGUUGGAGGGAUAUCCCAGAACAAGGAAGGAUAUCCCCCAAUCAAUACCCAAAUGAAAAAAAAAAAAAGAAAGGGGAUUCUUUGUUCCAGGCUUAACGGGUUGUUCUUGGAAGAACCCGUUAAGCCUAUUCUCCUCAGCUUGGAGAACUGAGCGGAACAACUUGGAUCCCCUCUGAAACUUUCCAUUUUGCCCUUUAAAUCUCUCGCCUCAAACGAACCAAAAAAAAUUAUAAAGAAAAUAUAUUGAAUGAUUAAUUUAAUAAGUGUUACUCCAUUUUAAAUAUUUAUAUUUUUAAAUUAAUUUUGAAUAAAUUUAAAUAAAUGUUUAAAUUGAAUACAACUAAAUUAAUAUUUUCAAAAUAAUGUACAAAUAUACUUAAUUUGUAAUUAAUUUAUUCUAAUACUUAAUUUAUUAAAUCAUAUUUAAUUAUUAUAUUCAAGGGCAAAUUUGUCAUUCUAUUAUAUUCAAGGGCAAAUUUAUUAAAUGUUUUUUUUGUUAUUUACUAGAUAUUGUUGAUAAGAGGCUUAGAUGUAUCAAAUUGUAUCAAAUUAGGCAAAAAAAUUGCUAUUUAAGUGAACCAAGCUUUUAGCAGAGUGAAAAAAAGUUCUUCUUAAAAUAGCAAGUGUCGUUUUAUCCUGCAUUGCAUGAUUCGUCAACCUUUUCUUCUUUUCUUUUUUUUUUUGUGAAAGGAUUCCAAAACCAUGCAUGAACAAAAAAUUAUGUGAUCUCUUUUGCUUUUAGGAUACUAGUCUUUUACCAGCAUUAAUUAAUACGCUUCAAUUACAAAAAGCACUUCAAUGUUAUUUACAAACUUGAAAAGGUGCUCUAUAUAUAUAUAUAUCCCCUCAAAUUUCUUGCUUAAUUUGGAGCUUAAUUAUAUAUAUGAUUAUUAAUUCUAUUGUAAAUAGUAACUCUCACUGUAUGUUUUGAUGGAGGAAGUUUUAUUGUGCCUAUCCUUCACUUUCGUAUAAAAUGACUUUGCCCUCAAUUGAAGGGAACACAACUUUCACUUAAAUUAGAGAUCAUGGUAACAAAUAAUCAAUAAAAUCGAAAAUCACUUUUAACCUCACUUACUCAUUAGCGACUUCCAUCAAACAAAUUAACAACUCCCAAUGUGUUAAAUAUAAAAAUAUUUAAACACCGCUCUUUGCAAGUUUAAGGAGGUCCUAAGUUCGAAUCAUCCCAGACUCGUUUAAUUCAAGUCCACAUAAUGUGCCUAUAAAAAGUUUCAAACCCAGAUGUGAGGUUGAGUAUUAAAUAUAAAAAUAUUUUAUAGUACAAUGUUUAUUUCACACAUGUUUAUUUCCUUUUGAUCACAUAUAUCUUAAAUUAAUAUAUCUUAUCUUAACAAAAAUUUGAAAAAUUACGAUUCAUUUUCAACUGCUGACACAGUUAGUAAGAAUAUUUAUUUCCGUCGUAGGUUUAGAUACCCUGGCUAAUUGCCAGCCAACCAUUUGGACCAAAAUAGUUUUACAAAAAGAAACAUGCAUCAAAGAAGCAAAGGCUCUUCUUAAUGGAUCCAUUAAUCAUGGACAAAAAAUUUGUAACUGUGAGCUUGUGCAACUGUGUUCUACCCUGUAUGCAUGUGACAAGAAAAGCAUAAAAAAGAAAAAAAAAAAGAAAAAAAAAAAGAAGGAUAGAUUGCGACAAUGAAGUGAAAUUCAGCCAAUCUCCUUAUUUCUUGGUAUGUAGGGUAUAACCAGUAGAAGAGGAUGCUUCUCUUUUAGAAGCUCAUUCUAGAGAGAGAGAGAGCCUUCUUUAUCCCAGGUAAUUCACAAGGAAUUUGAAUGAGUCCUAUCUUAUUAAAUUAUGUACAUUUAUGGAGAUUAAAUAUAGGGCUAUAUAGUAAUUUGAAAUUGUAAAAUGUCAAAAAAAAAAUGUUUUUGUGUUUUUAUGCAAGAUGGUAAUGUGCGGUUGGGCAUUAUCAUUCGUCAGUGUUACGACAAAUGCACAGAUGGAAACGAAAAUGACGAACAUGAAAUAAACAAACCACAAAUAGAAAUAAAAGAGAAUACACAGAUUUACGUGAAAAAUCUUUUGCAGGAAAAAAAAUCACGGGCGAGGGAUGAGAGAAUUUCACUAUCGAAAAAAGGGAAUACAAUGUUCAAGGUACAACCAGCAUCAAUCUGUCACCUCUAGGACAAAAACAAAAAAAAAACUCUUAACGGGCUUAUCGGCCCGAGUCCUCCGCUACCAACCACAGGCAUUUAUUUUUCCUUCUCAAUUUUAUUUCAAAAGCCGUACCGCGAAACUGCCAGCGAGUCAAAGUUUAGAACUGGAAUCGAUUAUCAAUUUCGAGUCAUAUCUAACGGUCAGAAAGAAUAUUUAUUGCAAAUAAGUCAUCAAGUAAGAGAGAGAGAGAGAGAGAGAGAGUUAAUAUAUAUUUUUCGGCCUGUUUCUUAUUAGAUUUAUCUUUUAGUUUAUAUGAUAUCAGAAUCAAUUUCAAGCUUCUUCAUUUUGUGAGGUCGUGGAUUCAUUCUUCACUUUUUAUACUUAACGUGUAAAAUUUUCACGCACCGAUGCAUAUUAGUGAAAGUGUUAAUAUAUAUUUGUUGAUCGUGACUAAAAAGAACUACCUACUAUUUAUUAGGAUCAUGGCCACAAGGUGUUGAAAUUAAUGGUCUUACAAGGCCAUCAAUUGCCUGGGAGAACACUUCUGCUAUCUAGACUUUUAAAAGAACUCAUCCUCAUUCAUCUCCCUUCUCUUACUCAAUUAGGUAACUGGAAAUUGGAACAUGAAGAAAGAGUGUGAUAGGUUAUCAAUCAAUUUGGCCAUAAAGGAAUCCUCCUAUCAAACCAUAUCUUAUUUACAAAGUAAUGAUAUGCCCUAAAAAUUAUAGUGGCAUGUGCAUUGACCUGUGUUGUUCCUAUGGCACUCAAUAUGCUUUGGGUUAUCCAUGGAUUGAAACUGAAAUGCCAAAUUUUUUGCUUUAAACCUUUCCUGGACUGUGGAAGAUAAUGUGGGACUAACAACUUGGCAUAUAACCACUCACUCAACCCUAGGGGGCUCACAUUGGUGCUAUUAAUAGUAUAUUAACCUAGUUCUCUCUCUCUCUCUCUCUCUCUCUCUCUCUCUCUCUCUAUAUAUAUAUAUAUAUAUAUAUAUAUAUAUAUAUUGGGUGCUAAUCUAAGGCUUUCUGAGUUUGUACACAACAAAGCGCUUAUCAACUUAAUUUCUUUUCGUAACUGCUGUUAGCAAGUGAUUAUCAAUAACCUAAAUUUCUUUGAGUACCUUAUCCUUUUCUCUUUGGAUUAAUGCUUGGAUACAAGUUUUAAGAUAUUUUGAGUAAUUAAUUUCAUUUUAAUGUGAGUGAUGGCCAAACCAACAUAAAUUUGUACUAGGUGUGGUUGGGUUAUCUUCAUCUUUUAUAGCUUUGAUGGUGAUUUGUUAUCAUGAUCGACUUCUCGAAAAUGAAGGAUAUGGAUAUAUAUAUAUAUAUAUAUAUAUAUAUAUANNNNNNNNNNNNNNNNNNNNNNNNNNNNNNNNNNNNNNNNNNNNNNNNNNNNNNNNNNNNNNNNNNNNNNNNNNNNNNNNNNNNNNNNNNNNNNNNNNNNNNNNNNNNNNNNNNNNNNNNNNNNNNNNNNNNNNNNNNNNNNNNNNNNNNNNNNNNNNNNNNNNNNNNNNNNNNNNNNNNNNNNNNNNNNNNNNNNNNNNNNNNNNNNNNNNNNNNNNNNNNNNNNNNNNNNNNNNNNNNNNNNNNNNNNNNNNNNNNNNNNNNNNNNNNNNNNNNNNNNNNNNNNNNNNNNNNNNNNNNNNNNNNNNNNNNNNNNNNNNNNNNNNNNNNNNNNNNNNNNNNNNNNNNNNNNNNNNNNNNNNNNNNNNNNNNNNNNNNNNNNNNNNNNNNNNNNNNNNNNNNNNNNNNNNNNNNNNNNNNNNNNNNNNNNNNNNNNNNNNNNNNNNNNNNNNNNNNNNNNNNNNNNNNNNNNNNNNNNNNNNNNNNNNNNNNNNNNNNNNNNNNNNNNNNNNNNNNNNNNNNNNNNNNNNNNNNNNNNNNNNNNNNNNNNNNNNNNNNNNNNNNNNNNNNNNNNNNNNNNNNNNNNNNNNNNNNNNNNNNNNNNNNNNNNNNNNNNNNNNNNNNNNNNNNNNNNNNNNNNNNNNNNNNNNNNNNNNNNNNNNNNNNNNNNNNNNNNNNNNNNNNNNNNNNNNNNNNNNNNNNNNNNNNNNNNNNNNNNNNNNNNNNNNNNNNNNNNNNNNNNNNNNNNNNNNNNNNNNNNNNNNNNNNNNNNNNNNNNNNNNNNNNNNNNNNNNNNNNNNNNNNNNNNNNNNNNNNNNNNNNNNNNNNNNNNNNNNNNNNNNNNNNNNNNNNNNNNNNNNNNNNNNNNNNNNNNNNNNNNNNNNNNNNNNNNNNNNNNNNNNNNNNNNNNNNNNNNNNNNNNNNNNNNNNNNNNNNNNNNNNNNNNNNNNNNNNNNNNNNNNNNNNNNNNNNNNNNNNNNNNNNNNNNNNNNNNNNNNNNNNNNNNNNNNNNNNNNNNNNNNNNNNNNNNNNNNNNNNNNNNNNNNNNNNNNNNNNNNNNNNNNNNNNNNNNNNNNNNNNNNNNNNNNNNNNNNNNNNNNNNNNNNNNNNNNNNNNNNNNNNNNNNNNNNNNNNNNNNNNNNNNNNNNNNNNNNNNNNNNNNNNNNNNNNNNNNNNNNNNNNNNNNNNNNNNNNNNNNNNNNNNNNNNNNNNNNNNNNNNNNNNNNNNNNNNNNNNNNNNNNNNNNNNNNNNNNNNNNNNNNNNNNNNNNNNNNNNNNNNNNNNNNNNNNNNNNNNNNNNNNNNNNNNNNNNNNNNNNNNNNNNNNNNNNNNNNNNNNNNNNNNNNNNNNNNNNNNNNNNNNNNNNNNNNNNNNNNNNNNNNNNNNNNNNNNNNNNNNNNNNNNNNNNNNNNNNNNNNNNNNNNNNNNNNNNNNNNNNNNNNNNNNNNNNNNNNNNNNNNNNNNNNNNNNNNNNNNNNNNNNNNNNNNNNNNNNNNNNNNNNNNNNNNNNNNNNNNNNNNNNNNNNNNNNNNNNNNNNNNNNNNNNNNNNNNNNNNNNNNNNNNNNNNNNNNNNNNNNNNNNNNNNNNNNNNNNNNNNNNNNNNNNNNNNNNNNNNNNNNNNNNNNNNNNNNNNNNNNNNNNNNNNNNNNNNNNNNNNNNNNNNNNNNNNNNNNNNNNNNNNNNNNNNNNNNNNNNNNNNNNNNNNNNNNNNNNNNNNNNNNNNNNNNNNNNNNNNNNNNNNNNNNNNNNNNNNNNNNNNNNNNNNNNNNNNNNNNNNNNNNNNNNNNNNNNNNNNNNNNNNNNNNNNNNNNNNNNNNNNNNNNNNNNNNNNNNNNNNNNNNNNNNNNNNNNNNNNNNNNNNNNNNNNNNNNNNNNNNNNNNNNNNNNNNNNNNNNNNNNNNNNNNNNNNNNNNNNNNNNNNNNNNNNNNNNNNNNNNNNNNNNNNNNNNNNNNNNNNNNNNNNNNNNNNNNNNNNNNNNNNNNNNNNNNNNNNNNNNNNNNNNNNNNNNNNNNNNNNNNNNNNNNNNNNNNNNNNNNNNNNNNNNNNNNNNNNNNNNNNNNNNNNNNNNNNNNNNNNNNNNNNNNNNNNNNNNNNNNNNNNNNNNNNNNNNNNNNNNNNNNNNNNNNNNNNNNNNNNNNNNNNNNNNNNNNNNNNNNNNNNNNNNNNNNNNNNNNNNNNNNNNNNNNNNNNNNNNNNNNNNNNNNNNNNNNNNNNNNNNNNNNNNNNNNNNNNNNNNNNNNNNNNNNNNNNNNNNNNNNNNNNNNNNNNNNNNNNNNNNNNNNNNNNNNNNNNNNNNNNNNNNNNNNNNNNNNNNNNNNNNNNNNNNNNNNNNNNNNNNNNNNNNNNNNNNNNNNNNNNNNNNNNNNNNNNNNNNNNNNNNNNNNNNNNNNNNNNNNNNNNNNNNNNNNNNNNNNNNNNNNNNNNNNNNNNNNNNNNNNNNNNNNNNNNNNNNNNNNNNNNNNNNNNNNNNNNNNNNNNNNNNNNNNNNNNNNNNNNNNNNNNNNNNNNNNNNNNNNNNNNNNNNNNNNNNNNNNNNNNNNNNNNNNNNNNNNNNNNNNNNNNNNNNNNNNNNNNNNNNNNNNNNNNNNNNNNNNNNNNNNNNNNNNNNNNNNNNNNNNNNNNNNNNNNNNNNNNNNNNNNNNNNNNNNNNNNNNNNNNNNNNNNNNNNNNNNNNNNNNNNNNNNNNNNNNNNNNNNNNNNNNNNNNNNNNNNNNNNNNNNNNNNNNNNNNNNNNNNNNNNNNNNNNNNNNNNNNNNNNNNNNNNNNNNNNNNNNNNNNNNNNNNNNNNNNNNNNNNNNNNNNNNNNNNNNNNNNNNNNNNNNNNNUUUAUAAAUUAUUUAAAUCAAUAAACUCAUUGUAAAUCACUAUGUUAUUCAAAAUAUUUAGAAAAAAUAUUUUCAAAUUUAUAUGCUUCAUUUUAUUAAAAAUAUUUACAAUAUCAAAUUUAAAUUUUAAUAUAAAUAGAUGGAUAAAUAUGAUAUCAAAAAUAAAAUUUAAUUAAUUUAAAUUUAAAUCAGAUUUAUUUUUAAUAUAAAUAAAUGAUAGAAAUGUAACUUUCACAUAUUUGAUCAUAACAGUUAUUUUUAGUUUCAAUAUUUUUUACUAAUUGAUCAUAACCGUUCUAGAAUUGAAGUUAUAGAUAAGUAUAAUAUUUUUUUUAAUAAAUUGGUCAUCAAUCGUCGUUGUAUUUGAGAUAUUUUUUACAACUUGAUCUUAAAUUGCUAAUAUUAUUAAUCAAAUAGUAUGAUACAAUUUAUCAAUCAAUCUAUUUUUUAUUUUUAAAUUAUUUUCAUUGUAAUAUAUUGAUAGUCCCAAAAUUUUAAAUUUUAAAUUAAUUUUAAAUUUUGAAUUGAAAUAUAGAUUUACUGUAGAUAUUCUGGCAAAAAUUUGGAUAAGCAUAAUAUUUUUCUAUUUUAGAGAUAAAAAAUUAAAUAAUUUUUUAAUUAAAAUAUAGAUUCACAGUAGAUAUCUUUCGGUUGGCAAAAAUUUGAAUAAGUAUAUUUUUUUUCUAUUUUAGAAAUAAACAAAAAUUAAAAGUUUGUUUCAUUACGUUACUUAUUUUACGUAAGGAAAGAGGAAUCGAUAGUUUUUUCCGCUAAAAAAUGGGUUUGUCGACAGACCCAAAUUUGAAAUACGUGCUUUUAUAUAUAGUAUAGAUAUAUAUAGUAAAAUGUACGUGCAAAUGCAUAUAAUAAUUAUUAGAAAAAAUUAUAAUUUUUUUAAAUUAUUUUUUAAUUUUAGGCCAUAUUUUAUAUGAUUGCCAAAUAUGUAUCUAAAAAAUUUAAAAUAAUAAAUCACGAGAGAGAACCUUUGGAAAAAUUGGGUUUUCAAGAGUAUACAUUAUUCUAUUUAAACAGUAUAUUAGACGUUUAUAUUGAAUGGUUUGAUACAGAGAGAGAAUCAGAUUUUAUGCUGUUAAUGGGCAAAGGGUUUAGCAGAAACUUAAUAGCAUGGAGGUUACAAUUACGAUAUUAAUACAAAAGGUGAUUAAUCAUUACAACAAUGGUGGAACACCAUUAAUAUACGACGGUUAUAUCAUUUUUUAUGUAAAGAGACCAAGUGGAAUACAUGAAUGAAGAAAGCACAACUAGAGAGAGUGAUAUGGAUUAUAGUGUAAAAGGUCUCCAAGAGGGGUAUGAAAAAAUAAACCCCCAAAAGGCCACAUAUUUAAUGGGUCAUAAGGGGAGAUAUAAUUAGCUACACUAAAUUAAGCUUAGUUAGGCUCGACUCCCUGAUAUACACGCCAUAUUAGCCAAUGGGUACAAGAUCAAUACCAAUGAUGUGGCGCCGGAAAAAAUAUUGAUGGUGAUAUCUUUGGAAUCAAUAUUACAUAAAAUCAAGCGAAGAUGCUGGUUUCAUUUAAUGUAUUUACUCUUGGAGUAUUAGGUAUUUAAAAGACUGAAGGGAUUUGAAGGGUGGUCUUGCACGUGGCAGACGAAAUUAUUUGUGCGGGUUUACAUUUACUCUUAUAUAGCCAGGAUUCAUAAGACAUUUUUUUGUAUCGGAACAGCAGAUAAAAAAACAAUGAGGUCGUACUAAUUUUUCAUAAAUUCAACCAGAAUACCACAAUUGGGUCUGGCUCGACAGAGACCCAACAUUUUAUAAUAUUACGUACUAUGGGGUUAUUAAUGAUUUCAUUUAUGCCAUGUUUAGUCCUUGUUAAAGAUCAGCCUUGACGUAAAAUAAUCUCUUUAAUCGGCACAUGACUAAUUAUAUUAAUAAGUAUAAACUUGAUAGCAUGUAAGAUGAAAUGAGGAGACGAGAGAGCAGAGAGAAGCCUGAGCUAGAAUAUAUUAACAGCGUCAUGAAACAUAGUUAGCAAUAACGGGACGCGCUCGCUAUUUUCUCACUAUCAAAUCUUCGGAUUAGAUGAAGAGCUUGCCAACACUAUUCUGAGAUCGGCUCCGUUAUAAUAUGAAUUAAACUAUUUAAACUUCUAGAAAUCAAAUUCCCGCACUUUCGCAUGUUGUUAUUUAUCGCAUCAAGUGAACAGAAAAAUGUAAUGGCUGAAAAUAUAAUAUUGUGCAAAAAAUGAGUGAAUAGGAGUCUUAAUAAUCAAGAUCAAGAGUAUAGAUCCUUUGUUUUAAAUAGUUUAAAGAAUUUUUCUAACCAAAAAUUCAAUUGAUUUGGAGUAUUUUACGCAUUAAACGGAAAACGUCUCUUUAUUGANNNNNNNNNNNNNNNNNNNNNNNNNGACUAUUAAGAAACAUAUGCAUUUAAUGAUAAAUAUUACAAUAUUCUAAAUAGCAAAAAUACUUUGAAUUGAAAUAGAACAAUAAAAUCCUGUUAGAAAAUAAAUUUUGACAAUAAAUAGACAAAUAAAAUCCGCUUAUCUUAAAAGAAAAUUCAUAUUUUGAAUUAAAUACUAAUAUCUAAAACCAUAUUUUUAAAUUAAAUAGAACAAAUUAUCUUUUUAUAGGAUUUUCACACCCGUAAUUUUAUAUUAAAACCCUUACUUUGAAAUUAAAAUAGAAAAUUUAUCAUUGCAGUAUUUUAAGUCCCUCCUCCACUUCGGUAGUCUCUAGUAAACUUAAACUAUUCAUUGCUGUUUUCCGAUCAAGUUUUCUUCUAUUUGGUUCUUGCCUAUCUAGUUUAUUACCGCGGCGAUGCGCGGAAUAGUUUUAUCGAAAUAUUUAGAUUUUAUUCAAUUCCAUCACUCUGAAAGUAGACACUAUAAAGAUUAACAGAAAAUACUGUAAAUUAGUUUAAACAUUAGAUCUAAGACAAAUAGAGAAAACAGAGACGAGAAAAAUAAAGCCGAGAAAGCUUCAUUUACAUGGUUUCGGUCUCUAAAAGUGACGACGGCUCUGCACCGUUUCAUACGGCCUCGAUCUCCAUUGCCAUGCCGCCGUCUUUCUUCACAGCCUAUACGAUCUCCCCGUACAUCAGAUUUUACCGCCUCUUGCCGCUAUGACUAAAAGCAUCAUCCCAACCACUCAUGGCUGAAAUGAGAAAGAUAAUAUGCAAUUCCACAGUGAAUUAGAAAAACAUUAAAAAUAAAAAUACGAUAUUUCUACACUCUUUACUAAUGCAAGAAGGUUUUUAACUUUAUUAAUGAAGAAACAAGACAUUAGGCUUUCAUUUUAUUGACCUAAUAGGAGAGCAUAGAGCUUUUGCACUACGUUUUAUCUUUACGAUUUGAAUGUCGUUAUUUCUUUCUGUUCUUUCCCUUUGACCAUUAAAAUUACAAAUUUUGAAACCCUUUGAUCAUUAGGCAAAUGAUGUCGAAAAGAUUUGAAAUUUGAUUUCUAAACACUUCAAGUGGUAUAGAUCAUGUUCAAUGGAGCCGAUCGUCAAUUUGGAAGCUCUAUCAUCGAAAACAAAUAGGUAGUAAAACGGCUCGUUUACUACUGAUAGUAUUCUAGCAAAACUCUCUCUCUCUCUCUCUCUCUCUAUAUAUAUAUAUAUAUAAGAAAAUUCAAAGCAUUUUGAAGUAGUUUUGUAUAGUUGUUAUUGGUACAAAUGAGUUUGAAUCUCUCUACAACUAGUGAAUGUGGAAUCUUUGGCAAUGCUCUCCACGUACACACACAUAGGCCUCUUGUACGUGGUCUACAUUAACUGACUUGUCUUUUUUCUUUUUUGUUGAGUACUAAAAUUUCAAAGAAGUGGUCUCACAUUUUGGAUUAAGAGCCUACGUACAAUGUACAUCAUUUAUCUAUGAGAGGUGUACAAAUAGCAUUUUCCAAAAACUUUUCCCUAUAAUCAAUAGCACUCAAAUUAAUUAUUUGGUGGCUUCCUCUUAUUCAAGUUGUUAUUCCUCUCAAUGUUGUUUGUACUUUUUUAGGAUCUCACCACUGUCAAAUACAUGCAAAUGGCCCAUUUAAGUACUCUAUAGGCAUUCAAUUAUAAGAGCUAAGUGUUACUAGUACAUAAAAUGUCAAAAAAAACAUCAAGCAUGCAUGAAUAAUUGGGGCCAUUUAUCAAAAUGUAUACUCUUAAUUAUGUCUCCGAUAUCAUCUUGGUUAAUUGUUAACUGUUUGAGAUACCCUUUAGUCACUAAAUUCUUGUGACUAUGUUGCAAAAAUUUGGUAAAACUAUAUGAUCACAAACUAUGUUGUAUUUUUGAAAUGGGCGUCGGAACUUUGCAAGUUUUGUUUUCAGUACUUAGUCUAACAGUGUGAUUGAUAUAUAUAAAUGUGUCUCUAUUUUUAAUAUUUUUGAUAGAAUACUUAUAACCAAAAUAAAUAAAUAAAUAAAUGCAGAUAAUUUGAAUCAGCCUUGAAUUUUUAAUUAAAAUAAAUGCCUCAAACUCUAAAUUCUCUUGCUUUGAUAAUAAAUGAAAAAAAAAAAAAGAUUCCUCUAGAAGAUUAAAUAAUUAGGAAAUUAAUUGGUAUUGCAAUUCCAAUCCAGCAAAUGCCAAUUAAAUUAUCCGCCGUCGGAUCUCCGAUCAAGUUGUCAUUGUGCAUGAGCCCUAAUCUCCAAACUAGGAAUUUCUUACACAAGUGAUCCUAUUACAAGAUUGCAUAUCCUUGCUUGUUGGAAAUUAACAUCCUAUAUUUUUUUUUUCCUAUGUUAUCAUAUUCUUGUGAUUCAGUUAAGAGGGGCCCCGUUAAAGUGCCCUAAUUAACUAUGGUUCAAAAGCUUAAGAGACCAUUGAUUCUCAUUUUGACCAAAAUCUCAACAAAAGAGAUAUUAUUCUAAGUAAAGCAUGAUUAAUGAUAAGUUUAUUGUCGAAGUGGGGCAUUUAGAACAAUUUUAUACUUAGGACAUAAGUAAUCAUGUUAAUAAUAUAAUACGUAUUACUAUGUGAUGCAAUAUUUGCAUAGAAAUGUUACAAUAUAAUUUUCUCUAGUCUCAUAUUUCGGAACCGUGAAAAGGAAAAUACGGAAAUGAAACAGUUUCUAGGAUGGAAAAAAUAAAUAAAUUUUUAGUGGAAAAACCUUUUAUGUCCUUUUUAGCUAAUGAAAACAUUAAUUUUCUUAAUUAAGUUAAUUAAAUAUCUUCCAUCAUCCUCCCUGAUCACUUCUUUAUUUUCUCCUCCUGUAAUUCAAACCAAAUACGAACGUUUCAGAAAAUAUUUUUAUUUUAAAAUAUGUACUAAUAACCACAAAUUUCAUUCUUUUUUUUUUUCUGAGAACUAUAUAUUUUCAUUUUUUGCACAAAAAAGGAGGUAAAUUAGGAAAUUAAUAUAAUGUAGUCUCUUUUGAUUAGCAAUGAUUAAACUAAUUUAAGCAUCUUUUAAUUGCUAAUAUAUAUGGAGUUCAACCAAUUGGGUGGCAUAUAAUUAUUCGGAAAUAAAGCAUGCAAAUAUAUAUUGGGGAUUGAGAAUUGGACAAAUGUAUGGUGGAGGAACAACCAAUCAGAAUGUGACAAGUCAUCAACUGUGGGCCCCACAAAAGAACAGGACAAUGGAUGUGGACCGUUCAUUCGCAUCAUGUCAUCAUGUCAUCAUGUAUUGGAGGAGAAUCCAAAUGCCAUCAUCAAUGGCUUGAAACUUCUAAUUCCCAAAAAAUAAAUAAAUAAAUAAAUAAAUAAUAAAAAAAAAUGCUACAUGCAUAUAUUCCAAAAUUUCAAUAUAAAUCUUAGGGGCAAUUUCACUUGUACCCUUCUAAGUUCUGAAAUUUCAUUGAUGUCCUCUCAAUUUUUGAAAUUUCAUGAAUAACCCUUCAAAUUUCAAAUAUGUUUCAUCAAUAUGCCAUUCUCAAUUUAAUAUUAAUUUCUAUACAUUUAAAAUAGAAUUAAUGUGACCAUUUUACCCCUACUUUUGAGUAUUCUUUAUUAGAAUAAAAUAGGUAAAGAUAUAAGAAUUAAUUUCACUUGUAACCUUCUAAAAUUAAAAAAAAAUACUAUAAAUAUAUUUAUAAAUAUGGCUACCUCCAGAUUAGUCUUUAAAAUAUAUAAUUUCUUACAAAUUAAUAUAUUGUCACUAGAAAUAUGUGAAGACCCCCUCAGCUGAAUUCUUGUGAUUUUUCUAUAACUUUAUUUUUUUUACUUAUUAAAUUAAAUAAAAAUAUUAAAAAUUACUUUAUAUAUUAUAUGGAUAUUUUAUCUUAAAAUUUUUAACUAAUAACUUCUUUUGUAAUAUGUGCUAAAUGAGAUAGUUCACACAUUAUAUUAGUUUACANUUUAGUUGUGAACUGUUUAACCUUUUUUUUUUUUUUUUACUUUCCUCAUAUUUUAUAAAAUUUCUAGUUUAAGUUUUUAUAUUAAUUUAUAUUUGAAAGUUUGUUUUAGCUGAAUUUAUAAAAACUUUCUUUAAAAUUAUAAAGCAUUCUUAAAUUUAAAGGAUAUUUAUGAAACUAUAUUUGAUAUGUGGCUACUGGAUUGUUUUCAAUGAGGGCAAAAUAGGAAUUCCAUUUAUAGAAAUGUAAUUUCUGAUAAAAAAAAUAGCAAGUAGGGUUAUUUUUGAAGAUUUCUUACACAUAGAGGGUCAUUUAUGAUAUUUUAAUUUUUAAAGGGGUAUAUAUGUAAUUAUAUAGUAAAUUUUCCCUUGUUUUUUUAUCAUUUUAAGGGUUCUUUGGACACUCCACUUUGAUGGCUAGUGAAUUAAAGUUUAAUCAUAGUUAGUUAACCAUAAACUCUGAACCCUAAACUUUAAACUCUAAACGUAGUGCUCUCUUUGCUGUAAGAAUAUUUAUCUUAAGAUUUUUCAUAAAAGAUAAAUAUUCUUACAGCAAAGAGAGCACUACGUUUAGAGCAAGAUUUUUCAUAAAAAUGACCGACCGUCCCUAAAGCAAGUGUCAAAGGGCUUAGUGGCUGGUAUCUGAGACCCAAGUUCGAAUCUUAGUUGAUUCACAUUUCUAGUUAAGUUUAUUUUUAAAUGAAAUAAACGAAGCGGGUAGCGUGCUACCUAUCUCUCUCAAAAAAAAAAAAAAAGAUUUUUCAUAGAAAUGCAAAUUACUAUUACCACCUAUUCUUCAAGGGACGGUGAUUUGGUAUUUUGCAUAAAAACACUGCUCUCGCAAAGCACUUACGCACUCAAUACUUGAUUAGAAAGCUGGAUCAAAUGAGUCACCGAUAAAGAUUUUAUUUGAUUGAAAGGGACGACUUUUAAUCGAUAGCUACAUAAAGUUUAGGCAUUACUAAACUCCAAAACACUCAUCUUUUUUGUUUUCUAUGAAAAGACUCUUAAUCUAAAAUUCUAAAUAUUCUUAGCACUAUUCUUAAUUAAUCAAUCAUUAGCUCAGCGCAUCCUUCUAUUUAUUUGUAAGCAAAUGAAAUAGAACAACUAAUUAGUAAUCUUUGGGAUUCAUUGAGCCAACACAUAUGGUAAAUCGUGCUAAUCGCUUAAAUAUAUAUCAAUUUGGUCGAUUGAUCAAUUUUAUUUACCUAACACGUAACUAAAAAAAAUACUUUGGAUUAUUAAUUUCAAACUAGUGUUUACAUUAUACAUGCCAACACAUUAAACAAGUUAUAAUAAAAAAUUAAAAAAAAAAAAAUCUGCCUCGAAAAGGUGUCUCCCCUUAGACUUUGGAUUCAUGUCACCACCCCCACGUGCGGUGGAUACAUUGAAAUUCCACACCACACGUGACCCCAAAAAUCUACUUUAACUAUUACAAAAUUUGAAAAAUGCUAUUUAUACAUGAUGUAAAUCUUAAAAUAAAAAUUUUAUUGCAGUAAUUUUUAAAAUAAAAUAAUUUUAUCCACCGUCCAUCACGUGGGCUGGCACGACUCUAAAAGCGUAAUGAACGGUAGAGGAAACUGUCUAACUACGAAGAAUUAAUAUUUCUAUAAGUUUUUUGUCCUAAAUCAUCCCUAAAUGUUUUAAAAAGUCCUUUUACAUCUUUAGUACUAAAAAUUUUGAUGAGAUUAGUGAGUAAAUAUGAAUUUUUGAAAGAUUAAAGCCUAAGCUUUACAUCCUAGCUUUAUUUUUUAAAAUUUGGGUAUUUUCUAAUCUACUUUUGUGUGAUUUAGCGUCUAUUUAGUUUAUCACUCUAUAACUUAAGAAGUUACUCUUAAUUAUCGUAUAAUUAUAUUCUUAUUAGAGCCAGCAUUCUAUCCUGUAGCAGAAAGCUUUGAAAUUACUGAUUAGCGCCAACGAUCCGACACGACGUGCAAUUUAUAUCUCAUUUCUUAAAUGUACAAAUAAUAUUUCUCUUAUAAUUUACUAUUUAGUUCUAUAUCCCCCAAUUCAAAAUAACUAGUUAAAGCUGGUCAAAUAAUAAUGAAGAAACAGUAGAAGAGGCACAACAACAAUUAAUAUAGCAUGGCUUUUUCGAAAGAAAAUUAAUUUUUUUACCAUUAUUUGUUACAAAAUAAACAGUUGCAAACCAUCAAAAAUAAUUUUUAAUAUUAAAAAAACUUAUCAAAAUUACUAGUGUGCCUGCACUGACAGACCUGAUAGAAUAUUUUAUCAGAACUCUUAAUAUAUAUAUAUAUAUAUAUAUAUAUAUAUAUAUAGAGAGAGAGAGAGAGAGAGUGAGUAUGUCUCUUAUACUUUCGAAAAUACGGAGGUUUCUGUGCUUAUAAAUUAUUUUCGAUAAUGAAAUAUUCGAUUCGACGAUCAGUUUCAUUAAGUAUGAUCUACGCUAUUAGUACUAAUUAAAAAUAAAUUUUAUAAUGUUUCGACAUUAUCUACCAAGUGAUCAAGAAAUCUUAAAAAUGACUAUUUUAAUGACCAAUAUGACACGUUUGUAAAUUAAAUAGUGUAGAAGAAUCCAAAUUAUAUGAAACUUCAAUAGAAAAUUAUACUUAAGAUCAAGAAUGAAAAUAAUACUUCCGAUUUGAAAUUUAAGUCUUUUAUAAUUAUUUUUUUUAUAAAAUUUUUAUUUUCAACCGUUCAUUUCGAAGCUAUUUAUUCACUAGGCAAACAAAAUAAGAAAAUUAUGAAAUUUGAUUUCUAAAUAGUUCUAAUAAGCGUAGAUCAUAUUUUAUGGAGCCGAUCGUCGAAUCGAAUGUUCCAUCAUCGAAAAUAAUUUAUAAUCAUGAAUUCAAUUAUUUAUUUAUUACUUGCUAUAGUUAGGACUUAGGAGACACACCCUUUUCUAAUUUCCUAAAUUUGAUUUCACUUUGAUAUACCCAAAAGAAAAAAAAAGAAGAGAUUUUGAGGAGGGCAGAAACAGUAUGUCAGGGAUUUUAAUUGCUCCCAACCAUUUCAGUGUCUGCUCACCAGCUGGAUUUGGAGUCUUGCACCAAACCCUCUUUCCAGCCCCCACAUGCCCCAUCCCUCCCCACCAUCUUCUUCCCUUCCUCCCCCCCUACCCCACAACUUUUUUUUUCUUUUUUUUUCUUUUUUUUCUUUUUGGGUGGAGAAAAUAUCCUCCCCACUUUUAGACCAACCUUGGCAUAGAUUCCUCCCCCACCCUCUCUUGCCUUCAACUAAUUUUUGUUUUAAUAUAUAUAUUAUAUAUUCAUAAUUUUUUUUUUUUUUUGAUAGGAAUAGAUAGCAAGCUAUCUGCUUCAUUCAUUAAGCAAAUAUAUUAAUAUUAUUCUAAUAAAUUACUCAUAUACUAUAUAUAUAAUAUAGUUUCUGAUUGAAUAGUAUACUGAUAUAUAUCAUAUAUAAAUUAAUUUAAUAUAAAAUUUAAAAAAUAAUUAUAUACUCUACGUAAAAAAAUCCCAAACAUCUUCUUCUUAAUUUCUAUUUUUUUCUCUCUCUCUCUUAAUUUUUUUCAAUAAAUAAUGCUCCUAAAUAUAUCAAAGUUCACAUUAUAAAUUAACACAUCAUGAAUAACAAAGCAUUAAUUACAUUUUUCUAAUUUCCAAAUCCCAUUUUCUAUAGAGAAAUAUAUCCUUUUUACCCUUCUAUAUUCCACCCCCUUCUACCAUCCAUUCCCCUUCCCCCCCCACCACUUCUCCUCCUGCCAUUCUCUUUUUCUUCUUCUUCUUCUUCUUCACCUCUCAUUUCCUCUUCCUCUUUGUGGUUUGGGUGAUCUCUUGGAAUCAAUCAGCUUUUCCCUUCAUAGAAACCACAGAACCUCAGAAGCAGAAUCCAAUUCCUCUCCUAAUCCCCACCCUUUGCUUCCACUGGUGGGAACCCCCUCUCCUUUUCCCCCCUCCUCCUCCUCCUCCCCCUUGUGCUUAUUCUUUAAAAAGCCCCACUCUCUCUUCACCUCCUCUCCCACCCCCCACCCACACCCCAAGAUCAAAUUUUGAUCAUCACCAACCUCCCAAAAUCCCACCUUUUGUUGGUUUAUUUCUUCUUCGAUCUCACAUGCAUGCAUGCAUAUGCUCCUCGAUCUCCUAAUUAAUGUUCUCAAUUCAUGUCUCCUUUCCUAAGUGAACUCCUCCUCUCCGGUUACAUAAUCAACUCCUCACUUCGACGCAGAACCCACAUGGCUCAAUCCUUCUCCGUGGUCUUCCUCUACUGGUUCUAUGUUUUCUCAUAAACUGCUUCCCCAAUCCAUCCUCCCUAUAUACUAUAUAUAUACACUUCUUUAGUUACUUAUAUAAGUUUCCCAAGCAAUUAUAUACUAUUACUAUUAUUAUUAUAAAAAUAUAUAAAUAUUAUCAUGGGAUCCUCUAGUGGGGCUUCAACAGCUGGGUCGAUCACCCAGAUUAUACAGAAUUCAGGAUCCGACGAUCGAGAGGAUCUGCAAGCGGUGAUGAGGAGGAGGAAGCAGAAGAGGAUGCAGUCGAACCGCGAGUCGGCGCGGCGGUCGCGCAUGCGGAAGCAGAAGCACCUGGACGAGCUGGCGGCGCAGGUGAGCCACCUGACGGAGGAGAACGGCCACGUGCUCAUGGCCGUCAGCUUCACCACGCAGCAGCUGCUGGCGGUGGAGGCCGAGAACACCCUCCUCAGGACUCAGGCGAUGGAGCUGAGCAGCAGGCUCCACUCCCUGAAUCAGAUCUUGUGCUGCAUGAACGAUGCUGCUGCUGCUGCUGCUGCUGCUGGUGGUGUUCAUGGUGGUGAUGAGAGCUACGUGAUGAUGAUGAGGCCACUGAUCAUGGCUUCUGAGGAUAUGGUGCAGUUACAGUAUUGUUGAGUUAUCAGGGAAGGAGCUAGCUCUAGCUCUAUUUGUUUUUUCUCCUUUUUUUUUUUUUGGGUGGUGGUGGUGGUGGUGGUGGUAGUGUUUGUGAUGGGUGGUGCAUGUGUUUGUAUUAUUAGAAGAGUUUUACUAUGGGGGAGCCAAAUUAAGGGUGAAGACCAUGAAGUGUGGUGCAUAUUUGGGUUCUUAAUUAAGAGAGCCAUGCAAGUGUAAUUUAUCUCUCUCUCUAUGUAAUAAAUAUAGUUCAUGCAAACCCCCUCUCUAUACACACAAUAAAAAAAAUAAAUGUUGGGAAAGUGCAAAAGCUAAGUUUUUGAAUGUCCACUAAUGGUAAAGAACUCGACGGUUAGUAAUUGAUAUUUCAAAUUGAGUUAGGCUACUAUGCUAUCGGAAGCACGGAGCCUUCCGUGCUUCCAGCUCGUUUUUGAUGUUGCGACUUUCGAAUCGUCGAUCGGCUCCGUUAAACUUGAUCUAGAGUAUUUGAAAUACCUAGAAAAUAAAUUUUAUUAUUUUUCGAUAUCAUUUGCCUAGUAAUCGAAUGAGCUUAAAAUCAACAAAUUUCAACGGUCGUAGUGAGCCGUUUGCAAGUUUAACGGUGUAGAAAUAUCCAAAUCACGCGAAAUUUUGAUAGAAAAUUCUUUGUACUAUAUAAAACACGAUCAAUAUCUUUGAUUUAAAAUUUUAAUGUUAUAUUAUUACAUUUUGUAAGAUUUUUAUUUUCAGCCGUUGAUUUUGAGCCCCUUCGUUCACUAGGCAAAUAAUAUCGUAAAAUCAUAAAAUUUAUUUUCUAGGUACUUCAAAUUCUCUAGAUCAAGUUUAACGGAGCUGAUCGACGAUUCGAAAGUCGCAAUAUCGAAAACGAGCUGGAAGCACGGAAGGCUCCGUGCUUCCGAUAGCAUAGUAGCCUCACUCUUUCAAAUUUAAAACUUAGUGAUUCACAUUAUUAGUUAAAUAUAUUUUCAGAUACUAAAAUAACAAAGCGGGUGCCGGGUAGGAUUGAAUACAAACUUCGUGUCUUAUUGCAAUAGAUUGACUAGACUAAUAGCUUGUUGGUGCAUGUGUCAGCUGGGAGAUCAGAAACAGUAUGAUCUUUAGAAAGAUCCAACCGAACCCUCUUCUAGCAGUCUUCAAGAUCAAGCAGUUAAAGAACCUGUGGGGACAAUUUUCUUUGUAAAACAACACUAAGUCUGAUGGUUUUUUUUUUAUUUUUCUUUUUUCGUUCGCGUUACCUGAGGCUGUCCGCUGCCUCACCCAUGUAGCCUCAUUCAUCUAUCUUAUGAAUGAAGCGGGUAGCACGCUACCUCUUUCUCAGAAAAAAAAAAAAAAAAAAAAAAAAAAAAAAAAAGAAAAGCUAUUUGACUCAGUUGGACUUAAGCUGUUUCUUUCUCUCCUAAAAAAAAUUAAAAAGCUAUUUAACAUGUUGGACUUGACCUAAAACAGCUUAGGCACUUUGGUCUUCUAUAUAUGUCACUUAAUACUAUACUAAUUAAUCUAACUAGAUCAAAGUUGGUAAAAUCACAUAAAGAGUAAUGCUUCAGGUACAAAUGUUUGUUCUGCACAAAUUAAUUCGUUUGUGAAACAUAUAUCGUAAGCGUGUCGUAAAAUUUUCGUGUACAUAAGUAGUUUUUUAAAAAAAUUUUAAAGAAGAAUCAGUAACAGUACUCAAAAGUACAUAAAUCUGUUUAUUUUGGAAUGGUCCCUCUGAUUAAGGUGUCCUUUGCUGCAAAAUAAUGCUAUGAAAAUGUCAAACAUUAACAGUACUCUUGAUUGUAGAUGCCUCCUUAAUUAAUUAGUUAAUUUCCAUGUUGUUAAUUUAUUUAUUAUCUAUAAAUGGGUAUAGUUGCUGUGUUCUUUGCUGAAUAAUUUCUGAUGCAUUAAUAUAUCAGUAAAUGCCUCAUUGGGGGACUAACUACUAGUAUAUCUAAUCCCCAACUUGCAAAUUUAAUUUAAUUUAAUUUUUUUUAAAAGAUCUGAGAAAUAUUUGCCCUUAAUUAAUUUUAUCACUAGCCAUGAGGAAUUGGACCACAAAAACACUGCUCCUACUUGCACCUACUGCAGUAAUAAAUGGUGUAGUCCCAGAUCCCACUCAGUGCUGUGCACAAAUACAUAUAAAAUACAAGAAGUGAACCAUAUAUCCAAGGAGAAGGUGGUCAAAUUUCACCUGGAUUUUUGUCCAACACCAUUAUAUAUAUCCAAAUUACUCACAAAUUAACUUAUAUUUUUUACAUUGGUAAUAAUAAUAAUAAUAAGUAGUUUAAUUCCUUCUUGUCCUAUAAAUCUAGUUAUAUAUCUGAGGCCUAGAGUAAAGACUAGUGCUACAUUGAUGCACAUAUUAGUUUACUUUAAAAAAAAAAAAAAGUAUUAGAAUGCAAAAGUUUUGGAACAUGGACAGAGGCAAAAGCUGCUUCAUUUAAUUUUUUUCUUUAUGGGCUUUAAUAUAAUGUUUGAUGGGGUACUUAGACAUGUGUGAAGUACUAUACGAAAUUUUUAUAGUACCACCCUAGCUAGGUGUACAAUUUGGGCCAUAUAUAUUAUUGUAGCCUCGGUUGCAUUUUAUGUUUAAGGGUUUUUUUUGCAAUUGGCCCUGAAAAAAAAUUUAUUUUAAAGAUAGUCCCGAUAAAUUUAUAAUUACAAAAUAGCCCUACCCUUGCAGGCGCCACGCGAGCGGGCUGGGUGGCGGUCGGGUCUGGCAAGUUGAACACGGUAAAUAGUUCAACGUAUUCAGUUAGUUAUUCUGCCCUGAAAAAGAUGUUGUACAAUACGUUUAGGGUUUACAUCAAGCGGCGGGAAUAACAAAAAAAAAACACGGUGAACCAUUAACCGUGUUUGAACACGGUGAAUGGUUUAUCGUGUUCAACUUGCCAACCAGGCGGCCAGCCCACCCGCGUGGCGUUUGCGUGGUAGAGGUAGGGCCAUUUUUACAAUUAUAAAUUAGUUGGGACUAUUUUUAAAAUAAAAUUUUUCUAGGGGUCCAUUUGCCCAAAAAGCCCUUCAUAGGACCACCUAAUGUGAGCCUCCCUUAGGCCUGGGUCUAAAAGAGUUAAAGGAGCUCUCACAUGGCCAUGGCCCGGCCCUAGUUUGGCCCUCGAUGCUGUGGUGUGACUCGAGCCGAGGCCCGGACCCCUUGCUGGGCCACCAGUCUUAGAGAGUGAUCGGCCCAACAUGAUCCAUUAAGCUCAGGCCAUUUUGGCAUGACACAGUUACAAAUAGUACCCAUAAUCUUGCCAUGAAAAAGUCUAUAAUGCGGCAGUCAUAGAUCCUAUGCGGUGUGCACUAGUCGAUCAAAUUGCUCUCCUCGGUUUCAUCCGUCCCAGAAACGCAUUUUUGUCGUAUUUUUUUAUUCAAAAAGAGAUAUAUGAUUGAUUGUUAAUAGAUGAUGCCGUAUGACUGCCAUAUAGUAGAAUUCCUCUCUUGCCACGUCCUAGCUGCUUUGGGCGGCACUUUUAACACCCAACCUCCGAAUGUGAAAUAAUAGGUAAAUUAUAUUGAUGAGAAUUUGGUUUAUUACUUCUUAAUAUGAAAAACUUAAGAAGCAACCUUCAGAAAAGAAAAAAAAAGAAAAAAAAAAAGAGGAAAAAAAAAGAGAAAAUGAAAGAGUGAAAUGAGUAGUAUGAACAGUGGAAACCAAGAGCAAAGGUAAUUAUAUAUAAUUGAAUUUCAGUAAAUAGAAGAUGUGAUUUUACUGCAUAUAGCAGAACCAAAAAGCAAAGAUAAAUUUAUAUAACAAAAAUUAAUUUUCUGGUUCCUUGAGAAAUUUAUGAACAAAUUGCAAUUUGAGUAUAUGUACUCGGUAUCUUGUUCAUUAUUUGAGACACGAGGAAUAUACUUGUUUUGAUCACAAAGGUACUUGUUGCAUCUUUAUGACGUUUUUUUUUUUUUUUUUUUUAUAACUUUUUUGUUCUUUAAAUAAUAUGCAUAGGAAUCACUCAAAAAUUAACUUUAUUGGCAUGUUGGUAACUAUUAGAACAUAUACAGAUCAACUAAACAAAUAAAAAUGUUUAAUCGCACAUGAAAACAUUAAUAGACACCCUAAAGCUUACCAUUUUGUGGAUUGAAUGGAGUCAUCAAUUGAAGUUCAUGACCCCAAAGGGAUGAUAAUCUCACAACGCUAGAUCUGUCAUCUAAGAGCAAACUUAUCUCCACUCUAGCAUUACUCAAUAUAAAUAGAUAGCAUGUAGAGUACUUUUUAUGCAUACGGAGACCUUCAUACUUAUAAGUUAUUCUUAAUAAUAGAGAACUUGAUGUAAAAUAUUUAAAGAAUAUAGAGUUAUUAUACUCUUAUAUAUCCUCAACUACAAGAAUUUUAAUAUAUAUGUUAAAUUUCUUUAAAUGUAACGUCGACCCGACCCGCUAGCAACAAUGACUCGUUACCACCGGCUCAAAAUGCUUAAGCCCAGUUAUUAUAACUAGCAUGUAGGCCUCAUCCAUCCGAUGUGGGACUAUUGGGGCGUUACAAACUCCCCCUGUUUAGACCCUGACGUCCUACUCGGGUCCAAACUAGAUAACAGACAGACUAGGAUGUAGCACUCUGCUCUCACAUUUCCAGCUGGUAUUCCGCUCCGAUACCAAAUGUAACGAUCCGACCUGCUAGCAACAAUAACUCCUUGGGCCCAAGCCACCAGCUCAAAAUAUUUAAGCCCGAUUAUUAUUACUAGCAUAUAGGCCUCAUAUAAACUGAUCGAAAUCAGUAUCCCAUCCGAUGUGGUACUAUUAGGACGUUACAACAAUUAAAGCUAAUAUCAAAAGGAGUAAUAUUGAUUCAUUGUCGAAAGAGUCUCCAGCAGCUAGCUGGGGUCUUCAAUAACAUGGUUAGCAUGAAUAAUAAUGAGAUUAAGGGAAAAAAAAAAAAGAAAAAGAAAAAAGUAGUAAAAGGUUAAAUAUAGGUGAGCCCAAACCAGUUGGCCAAGACCUCAUAUUGCCUGGCCUGGUCCUAUUCAACUCGGGCACGAGCAUAUGCAUGCAUAUCUAUGAAUAGCACAAACUCUUUAAUAGUCUCCUAAGCAAGAGACUAAUAGAUGGUGGAAUAUAUACGAAGGUUUUAUUUCUCUUCUGUAUUCCAUUUAGGAUUAAAUUUUAGAAUAGUAUUUUGAGCGCUUAACAAUUCCAAAUAAAGGCCUUUAGGUAUUUUGCCACUCAAGAGGCCCAUGCUUCAAAUUAAAGUUUUAAAUCAUAAAUUAAAUAAUAAACUUCAACAGGAAGAAAAUCAUGAAGAGAGAGAGAGAGCGCGCUAUUUUGUACUUUGCAAAGCUCUACUUAACUAUGAUAUCACUAAUAUACUUCAAAAUCUUAAUUUGUCAGAGAACCAACAAUACCUAGCAUAGUUGGCUAAAGAUUUGAUGAUUGGUACUCGAGGUAAUUCCAAAUUCGAAGCUUAGUUGUUUCACCUUUCUAAUUAAGUUUAUUUCUAAAAAAUUGAACAAAGCAGAUCUAUCUCUCACUCAAAAAAAAAAAAACACUCAAGUUGGCGGAGAUUAAUAUUUCAAUAUUGUAUAUUCUGUAGCUAGUAUAUAAUCAAGCAUACUGACCAUCCCUAGAGCAAGUGGCAAAGGGCUUGGUGGUUGGUAUCCGAGACCCAAGUUCGAAUCCUAGUUGAUUCACAUUUCCAGCUAAAUUUAUUUUUAAAUGAAAUAAACGAAGCGGGGUAGCGUGCUACCUAUCUCUCUCAAAAAAAAAAAGAAAAAGGUAUAUAAUCUGCAGGCAUGAACCUCAGCUUCACCAAGAAGAGUUCAUAUAUUGGUGUACCCUAUCAAUCAGGUAUAUAUUCGCUCCAUAAUAUAUUGGAACAACAGCUGGUUCUAAAUUCCUAAACAUGUACAAAACCAAGCACACCUAUCUCUCUUGCAACAAGCGAAGUCUCGUACCGACCGUUCCUAGAGCAAGUGGCAAAAGACUUGGUGGUUGGUACCCGAGACCCAAGUUCGAAUCCUAGUUAAUUCACAUUUCCAGCUAAGUUUAUUUCUAAAUGAAAUAAACGAAGCGGAUAGCAUGCUACAUUUCUCUCAAAAAAAAAAAGCGAAGUCUCAUACAUGCAUGGCACAUGACCUCUACUAGUUUAAAGCAAGAGUUAUAUAUGAUUAGUUUACAGGAGCUAGCCCCUUUGCUUUAAAGUAAACCAUGUUUAAUUAGAACCCCACUCUCUCAUAAAAAAGGAAAAGGGUAAUGAGCACUAAACAACAUUAUACAGCUUGUAGUGGAUCUCUUUAUUCUCCACCAUUGUCCUCUCAUGAUGGUGUGUUUGGUUCCUUGUCCUUGUCUACUAAAGGAUAACUAAUUUGGAGCUAGCACUACCCGUCCACUAACCCUAUGUCUAAUUUUUGAUCAUUAUACAUUCCAUUUUUCAAUAGUUUUAAACACUAUAGAGCCCACAUAUAAAUGUUGGUUGGUUACACGUAUAUAUUUUAUAUUCUUCCUCCUAUUUGAAACUUAGUUCCCUUUAAUGUAGUACUCUUAAAGAAUUACUAACACAUUUUUUUUUUUUUUUUUUUUUUGAGAGAAAGGUAGCACGCUACUUGCUUCAUUCAUUAGGCAAAAGAAUUUGCCUACAAAGGGUGAGGCAGGUAGGGCCUCAAAGAGUGACAAAAGUAAAGAAAGAGGAACUCUAAAAAUAUCUAAAAAAAGCUAAUUAAAAAGAGCACAAAGUCAAACAAAUAAACGGCCUCACCCACGUCUACAAAAAUCGGUCCACUCCUUUGCCAGUACACUAAUACGAUGUGCCAUAGAGGUAGCAUUCAAGGUAAGGUUUCAAAAAAUGACGUUAUUUCUCUCGCGCCACAACGUCCACCACAGGGCCGCCACUAGUAUCUGAGGCUUCAGAGUGUCAGGCGCUAUUACUAACACAUUGUUAUGAUUUAAUUUUUAGUUUUUGUUAAUUUCUUAGAGAAGUAGGGCUUUGUCUUUUGUAGUAGUAAUUCUCAUUCUUUCAGGUCCCAAUUGAUGGAGAUAUUCUAUUUAUGUGUUUUGCCUUGAAAGCAAAUUAAGGGCUUAUCUGAAGGUGGUUGAAUUACUUAUAUAGGUCACUAAGAAGCUUGAGAAUAAUGAGAAAAGAAAUAGAGUAAAAUAUUAAAGAAGGGUUAUGAUCAUUGAAGCAUGCGAAAAAGCUUAGCUUAUAAUAGAUUAAUAUCAUCAUUACUAAUUAAUAUACAUAUAUAGUCUUCGAUCAUCGAUCAUACUCCUCAGUGGUACCCUUGAUUCCUUGACCAAAACUAUAUAUUUAUUUGAAAUUUUACAUACAUAAAUACAUACGUUGACAGAUACAUACAUUUCCCAUACAAUCAUUUAAAUUGAGAAUUUUCUCGCUGCCGACCCGCCUAAAUUAUUCUGUGAUCAACAAGUGGAAGUGGUUAAGAGUAAUCUUAUAUUUUUGCUAGCUAAUAUGUUAAUACUAAAGCAUGUGGCACUGUGGCAGUGUUUAGCAUACUUAAUUCAAGUCAUAAAGAGCAAUAGUCACUAUUAAUAAGAUAAGUUUACAUACUUUGUCAACACCUUUUCUUUAUGGGGUAUAUAUAUAUUAAACUAAAGCAAACCCACCAACACUUAUGAUCUCACACCCUAAAAAUUCCACAAAGAAAGUGCUAACCCUCUCCUUUUACCCUUGAAUUUGUUAUGUAGUUAAAUAGCUAGUGAGAUACUUAUUUGUCACAUGCUAAGGAAGUGCUUGUCCAAUUCUAUCUCAAAAAUCCCUCCAACCCACAAAUAGUUUCUUUGUGCUUACAACUAAGCAAAGCUCCAUUCUCUUCUCUCCCUCUCUCUCUCUCUCUCUCUCUCUCUCUCUCUCUCUCUCUCUCUCUCUCUCUCUCUCUCAAUUUAUGAUCUUGAAGGAGAGAGAAUUAUUUUGUGACAAGAAUUGCUUCUGUUCAUAAGGUUUGAUCAUGGGGCCUAAGAGAUCUACAAUACUCUUUGUUCUCGUCACCGCGUCGAUCCUCUCGACUUCAUUUGCAGGUGAGUAUUGUUAAUUCAAAGGUACCCAUGGUUCUGUUUCAAAAGAUGACUUGUUACUUUGGCCUCAUUUGAUUCUUGGGAAAAAAAAAUGAAGAGGUUAUGAACAUCUCAAGUUCUUUGGUUCAAAUCAGAAUCAUUUUUGUCAAAAGAAAGUAACUGCAAACUAAUUUUUGUUUGGUUAAAUUUUUAACUUAAUUCUAUAUGUGAUAAAGUUUCAAAACUUUAUCAAUAUUUAAACAUAGCAUUAUACAACAAAAAGGAGAUAAAAUUUUGACUUUUACAGAUAAUUCAAGAAUAGCAUCAAAUUUAGUUCUCUCUCAAGUAAUAUAUAUAUAUAUAUAUAGGAGUUUGGUUAUUAGUUUAUAUUUUGGAUAUAGAAGUUUGGUUAUUAGUUUAUAUUUUGGAUUGCUCUUCUAACUGUAUCCUCAAAAAGGCUUCUACGCCAAAUUAACUUAUCAUUAAAAGGAAGCCAAAAAAUGUUACCAUAUACAUAUAGAACUUUUUUGCACUCUUUGAGAAUAUAUAUAUAUAUAUAGAGAGAGAGAGAGAGAGAGAGAGUCCAUAUAAAUGAAACUAAUUGAAUAUCAUACUAUUAUGAGAAGUUAAAAAUGUUAUGAAAAUAAAAAUUAGCUAAAAAUAUAUAAAACUUAUCUCAACUAUCACACUUUUGGAUCCGACUACCUAACCUUUAAAAAUUUUAAUUUUACCACCUGAUCUUCUACUUCGUGUGAUUUAAGUUAAUUAGUGAUUUUCUAAUUUCAAAUUUUGAAUGCAUCAUUUAUCUUUAUGAAUUUAAUUAGUAUAUUUUAUGCAAUUUACGUAACUAUAAAUUCAAUAGAGUAGGCAAUUAUUUUAAAUUUGUAUCCAAAGAGCCAUCAUAUCACUUAAAUCAAAAAAUUGAAAGGUUAGAUACUGAAAAUUAAAUUUCUAAAGGUUAGAUAAUCGAAUCAAAAUGAUCUAUAGUUUAUGUAAGUUUAUACAUUUUUACCUAAAAAUAAUAAAGAAGCAUCUUCUCAAUUUAAAUUGUGUAUGUUUGUUUCUUAUCAUGUACGUGUGAAGAGAUUUCUCUUUGUAUGCAGGAGGGCAAAGGAGAUUUUUAGAGAAAUAUGCAGUGAAAGUGGAAACAAAAGUAUUGCUAUUUAAUUCUCAUACUUCAUUUUUUGCUUUUAUAUUCCAAACUUAUACCCUAUUACAUAUGUGUAACAAAAUACUAGAUUUUUUUAAAAAAAAGUUGAAGUUUAUCAUUAGAGAAUCUGAGAUCUCUAUUAUGAACAUGCUUCUUUAUGAUCAUUAUUAGAGAAAAAUUUUCAUUAUUUUCUUCUCUUUUUUUUUUUCUAAUUACACAAAUUGAUUUCAAAUGUGUCACAGGAAAUUACGAAAACGCCGUCGUAUGAAGAUGAAGUUGUUGUUCGCGCGAGAAUUCUGAAAGUUCAAACAAAUGAUUAUGGAAGCUAUGACCCUUCUCCAAGUCUUGAGAAGCCUCCGUUUAAGCUUAUACCGAAUUAAAUUAAAUGUUGUUAUAUUUAGUACCAUAUGUUAUGGAAUAAUGAAGUGAAUUAUAUAUAGUUCCAUCGAGCAUCAGUAUGCGAAAAAUGUAGGAAUGUUGUUGUAUACAUAUGCAAUAUAUAUGUUUUGUGACUGAUGUGUACUUGUGAGUAAAUUAAAUUGCAUGCACUUUAUCAUCUCUUUCUAUAAUAUAUGUAGUAUUAAUUAAAUUGUUUUCCAAUUUAAUGUGACAAUAAAUACCUAAGAAAAUUUAGAGCGCUUGAGUUCUAAACAUAGUGAAUGGUCUUACAACAUGUAAAUUUUUCUUAAUGAACAAAAAAAAACAAUAAUUUUUUGUGUGGAACAGGUGAAUGAUCUAAACUUUUUGUUUUUUGAAAAAGAAAAAGAAGUUGUUAUUUGUAGUAAAGUUGUGUAUAAUUUCUUAUUUCUAGUCGACCCAUAUUGUCGGAGUGAGAAUUCGAUGACAAUUUAUGUUAAUUUUUCGUAAAACUGUGGAAAUUCAAAAAGCGAGGAGAUUUGUUAGUUGAGAGUGAAAAAGAUAAAAAAGGAAGUGUAGAGCAAAAAAAAUGAAAAAAAUAAUAUUUCUCAUUUCAAAAUAUUAUUUCUCAUUUCAAAAUAAAAUAUUUCGCUUAUUCGCCCUUCUCGAGGCCCUGCUGUCUCACCCAUGUAGCUUAGUUCAUCGUCUAAUUGAAUGAAACGGGUAGCGUGCUACCUUUUUCUCAAAAAAAAAUAUUAACUCCCUUAAAUUGAGAUACUAAGCUUCUUUUUUUUUUUUGAAAAAUGAAUGCUCAUUGUCUAAUUGAAUGAAACGGGUAGCGUGCUACCUUUUUCUCAAAAAAAAAUAUUAACUCCCUUAAAUUGAGAUGUUAAGCUUUUUUUUUUUUUUGAAAAAUGAAUGCUUGGAGUUAAAGUCAUUCCAAAGGUCUUUUCAUGAAGUAUAUAUAUCAGGGCAAAUCUUAACUAAAAUAUUUUCGGCCGUUUAUUUUGAGACUACUCAUUCACUAGACAAAUAUAAUUAAAAAAUUAUGACAUUUGAUUUUUAAAUAAUUCUAAUAACGUAGAUCAUGUCUAACGGAGCUAAUCAUCGAAUCAGAUGUUCUAUCACUGAAAACAACUUACAAGUACGGAGACCUCUAUACUUUUGAAAGCGUAGGAGACAUAUUCUCUCUCUCUCUCUUUCUCUCUCUCUCUCUCUCUCUCUCUCUAGCAAUAUGAAUUCCCUUAGAAAUUGUUAAAACAACCGCGCACACAAAAAAAACAACAAGAAGAAGAAGCACUGUAGAAAUAUAAAUUAGAACAAGAGCAAAGCUACAUAAUAUUAAUUUGCAAAAAAAUUAUAAACCAUUUAAAGCAUAAUUUACAAACAGAAGAAUAAAAAGAAAUUAUAAUAUGUUCAUUCCAUUUGCAAUCACAUAUUAAUGAGCUAGGUCUAUGUCCAUGAUUAUUGAAUAUCUUAUUAAUGCCAAUAAUAUUUUUAGCAUGAAAUAGUCGAAGCUAUUUUAUGACAAUGUGGCUUAAUGGGUCGAGUUUGAGCUCAAUAUUAAUAAGGGGUUUAAAUUUAAAUCUUAAGCUAGGUAAUGUCCAAAACCUGGCCCAACAAAAAGAGGCCCAUGGGCCUGGGCAAUAAUUGGGCCGACAAUCCCGCGUAGUUGCGACUUCGUCUAAGGGCAUGUUUGGUUGGACAAAGCUCUAAGCAUGAUGAAUUGGCGGAACCUCUUUUCGUGUAUACCGACUACGACACUGUGCGUGUGGGAGGUGAAGUCGACAGCUCUGAUCAUACCGAAACUAGCAACCUAUGCUGGAUUGACAAAGGCAUGUACGUAUAUAAAUAGAAAGCUAAAUUAUAAAAAAUCUCUAUGUGAAUGUUCCUUUUUUAAUUUUUACUUCAAGACUGUGAGACCCCGAUUUCUGUCAGUGGGGACUUGUCGACAGCUUUGGAGAGUGUCGAGACAAGCCCGAGUCGCGUUGGCGUCAAAUAGACGCGAAGCGGACUCCGUGCGAUGCGAGGGCAGCAUUCUGUGUGAAAAUCUGCGAAAUUGCAGGAUUUUUACUCUGUUGUACCGGUACAAGGUUAGUGCUGUACCGGUACAACCAUCAUGGAAAGUCGCUUGCUGUACCGGUACAAGGGUCCAUUUGUACCGGUACAGAGCGUGCGACAGAACUCAGUUGCUCUCGGGUUUGGCCUUGUACCGGUACAGCAAUCCAUGUACCGGUACAAGGGAGUUGGUAAGGGCUAAAUCCGUAAUUUUUCUACCUCGUUUGUAACGAUUCCUUCCCUCUCUCUCUAUAUCAGUUGGAAACCGAACAGAGGAAGAGAGAGAAGGCUUUUGUGCUUUCUUCUUUCUCUCUCUCUCUAAGCUUGGUGGAGGUGGAGCACGGUUGAGCCGGGGAUUCGCCGACGUCGCGCCGCGAGCCGUUCGAGCGAGCGUUUGUUGCCGGGGUCAUAGGCUUCCAUAAUCAUUUGUUUGAACUUUAGAAUCUCGGCGUCGAACAAACAAUUCAUCUUCAUACACGGCGUUCUGUAAUUUUCUUGACACAUUUUAAAUAAAUUUUUGAAUAGAAAAAUAAAAAAGGAAAAAAAAUAAUGAAGUAAUUGUUCUCUUAAUUAAUAUCAAAAGAACAUUCAUAAAGAGAUUCUUCAGUUCUCUAAUUGUAUACACACUUAAACUUUUUAAAAACUUAUAUUUGUCAUCAUCAUAAGUAUUAUAUUAAAUUGGAACAUAAAAGCAAAAAAUUAAGAUAUAAAUUAAAUACAAUACUUUGUUCAUUUCACUCUAUUUUCUCUAUAAAAUCUCCUAUUGCUCCUCUUUCGGCAUACAAAAUAUAAUUCUCUUCACCAUAAUAGAAUACAAACAUUACAGUCAAUUAAAUUGAAAUGAUGCUUACUUUAAUAUUAGUAAAAUAUGUAAAUAAACUUACUUGACAUCAUAAUCAUUGAUUCGAUUAUUAAUCUUAAAAAUAAUUUUAGAAUCUAACCUUUCAAUUUGAUUUAAGUGAUUAUGUUAUCUCUUGGAUAUCAAAUUAAAAAAAUUACUACUUUCUGUUGAAUAUAUAGUUAGUAAAUUGUAUAAAUAUUUAUCAUCUAUUAAAUCUCAUAAUAGAUAAUAUGAUGUUGCAUUCAUAAAUUUGAAAUUUAGAAAAUCACAAUUAAGCUAAAGUACACAUGUACUAAGUAGUGAAGAUCAGUUGUAAAAUUAAAUAUUUUUAAAGUUAUAUUCAUCCAAAAAAGGUUAGUAUAUAUUUAGUUUUAUAAGCAUUUUUUUAUCUUAAUUUUUUCAUUUUCCUAACAUUUUUAACUUCAUAAUAGUAUUAUAUUGGAUUAGUUCAUUAUAUAUGGACUCAUAAUAUAUAAUAUAUUAUUUAUAUAUAUAAUAUAUAUAUAUAUUUUAAUAUAUUAUAUAUAUAUAUUCAAAAGUUAAAAAAGUCUACUGUUAUAUUUGAAAUUUUUAUGGCGUUCCUUUAAUGAUACAGUUAAUUGCUAGAAGCUUUUUGAGACUAAUCUGUUAAGAUUGCCAAUCCAAAAUAUAAACCUAAUAACGCAAACUUCUAUAUAAUAACUAUAGACUUAAGAUUAACAAAUGUGAUGCUAUUUCUAUUAUCUGUAAAAGUCAAUAAUUUAUCUCCUUUUGUUAUGAAUCAUGUUUAAAAAUAUUGAUAAAGUUGAAACAUUAUCACAUAUAGAUAUUUAACGUUAAAAAUUAAACAUCAACAAAUUCAUGUUGCAUUAACUGUUCUUUGACAAAAUAAUAUUCUGAUUUAACCAAAGAAUUAAAAGUUCAUAACCUUCUUCAUUUUUUUCCCAAAAUCAAAUGAGCCCAAAGUAACAAUCAUCUUUUGAAACAGAAACCAUGGUACCUGAUUAACAAUACCACUGCUGCAAAUGAAGUCGAGAGGAUCGACACGGGUGAACGAGAACAAAGAGUAUUAGUAGAUCUCUUAGCCCCAUGAUCAAACUAUAACAAAGCAAUUCUUGUCACAAAUAAUUCUCUCUCCUUCAAGAUCAAAAUUGAGAGAAGAAGAUAAGAGAGAGAGAAGAAGAGAGAGAAGAGAAUGACUUGCUCGUUGAAGCACAAAGAAACAUUUUGUGGUGCAGAUUUGAAUAAAUUGACAAGCACUUUCCUAGCAUUGUAAAAAUAAAUUUCACUACAUUAACUACAAACAAACAAGUAAAGAGAGGGUAAAGCAGCUUUCUCAUUGUGGAAUUUUUAGGUUGAGAUAUAAUGUGUUGGGUUUUUCUUAGUUUUACAUAAUAUAUACCAUAAAGCAAAAGUUUGACAAAGGAUAAAUAUCUUAUUAAAUGACUAUUGCAAUAUGACUAAUUAAGUAUGCUAAACACUGCCCCCAGUGCCACAUGCUUAGAAACAUAUAACUAGCAAAAAUUAAAAUACCUUAUUAACCAACUCCACUUGUAUACACUAGAAAAUUUAGCCGGGUCGGAGCGAGAUAUUCCAAUUAAAUGAUUGUAUGGAAAUGUAUGUAUCGUCAACGAAUGUACUCUUAUAUGUAAAAUCAAAUUAUCAUAUAUUUUCGCAAGGAAUCAAGGAACCACUGAGGAUAGAUCGAAUCGAAGAUCGAAGACUAUGUAUAUAAUAGUAAGAUACAUAGUAAUCAUUAUAACGCUAAGCUUUCGCAGCUCAAUGAACAUAACCCUCUUCUAUAUUUACUCUAUUUUUUCUCAUUAUCCAACAUCUAUGAACCUAUAAAGUAAUUCAACACCUUCAAAAGCCCUUAAUCACUGUUCUAGGAAAACACAUAAAUAAACAAUCUCCAUCUAAUUGGGACCUGAAAGAAGAUAAUUCCUACUACAAAAGACAAGCCUCUUCUCUAAAAAUUAAAAGUUAAAACAAAAUAAACCAUAACUAAUGUGUGUACGCCGACCACUCGACCUCAGAUACUAUGGCGACUCCUGGGUGGACGUGUCGCGAAAAAUAAUUCUUUCGCAACCUUACUUUGCAUCUACCUCUAGGCACACUCGUAUUAGUACGGAAAGUGGACGCGAUGUUGUAGACGUGGAGCCGUUAUUUGUUCGAACUUGUGGCUCUUUUAACUUAAUUACAUUUCUUCAAUAUUUUAGAAUUCCAUCUUUCUUAUACUUUGUCACUUCUUGAGCCCAACCUCCUCACCCUUUGUAGCAAAAUCAUUUGCCUAGAACUAAAGCAAGUAGCGUGCACCUUCUCUCCGUCAAAAAAAAAAAAAAAAAACAAUGUGUUAGUAAUUCUUAAGAGUAUACAUUAAAGGAUAAUUUCAAAUAGAUAAGAAAUUAGAAUAUAUACAUGUAACCACCAACAUUAUAAUUGGCUCUAUAGUUAAAACAUUGAAAAAAUGAUGUAUAAUGACAAAAAUUAGACAAGGUAGUGGCGAGUAGUGCUACUCAAUAGUUAUCCAUUAUAGACAGAACAAGAACCAAACACAAAAUGACACGACAAUGGUGAGAAUAAAGAAUCCAUCUACAACUGUAUAAGUUGUUUAUAUCCAUCUACCUUUUCCUUUUUAUUAAAGGGGUUUAAAAACAUGUAUCUUAAAGCCAAAGGGCUAGCUCCUGUAAACUAACAUAUAUAACUCUUGCUAGCUUUAAACUAGUAAGGGGCAAUGUGCAUGCUGUAUGAACUUCGCUUUUUUUGAGAGAGAUAGGUAGUACGCUAUCCGCUUCGUUUAUUUCAUUUAGAAAUAAAUUUAGCUGGAAAUGUGAAUUAACUAGGAUUCGAACUUGAGUCUCAGAUACCAACCAUCAAGUUCUUUGUCACUUGCUUUAAGGACAGUCGGUUGAAAAAAAAAUUGUUAUUUGCAGUAAACUUGUAUAUAAUUUCUUAUUUCUAGUCGACCCAUAUUGUCGGAGUAAGAAUUCGGUGAUAAUUUAUGUUUAUUUUUCGCAAUACUGUGGAAAUUCAAAAGGCGAGGAGAUUUGUUAGUUGAAAGUGAAAAAGAGAAAAAAGGAAGUGUAGAGCAAAAUAAUAAUAAUAAUAAUAUUUCUCAUUUCAAAAUAUUAACUCACUUAAAUUGAGAUACUAAACAUUUUUUUUUGAAAAAUGAAAGCUUGAAGUUAAAGUCAUUCCAAAGGUCUUUUCAUGAAAUAUAUAUAUAAGGGCAAAUCUUAACUAAAAUAUUUUCGGCCGUUUAUUUUGAGACUACUCAUUUACUAGACAAAUGUAAUUAAAAAAUUAUGACAUUUGAUUUUUAAAUAAUUCUAAUAACGUAGAUCAUGUCUAACGGAGCUGAUCAUCGAAUCAGAUGUCCUAUCACUGAAAACAACUUACAAGUGCGAAAAUCUCUAUACUUUCGAAAGCGUAAGAGGCGUACUCUCUCUCUCUCUCUCUCUCUCUCUCUCUCUCUCUCUCUCUCUCUCUCUCUCUAGCAAUAUGAAUUCUCUUAGAAAUUGUUAAAACAACCACGCACACAAAAAAAACAACAAGAAGAAGAAGCACUGUAGAAAUAUAAAUUAGAACAAGAGCAAAGCUACAUAAUAUUAAUUUGCAAAAAAAUUAUAAACCAUUUAAAGCAUAAUUUACAAACAGAAGAAUAAAAAGAAAUUAUAAUAUGUUCAUUCCAUUUGCAAUCACAUAUUAAUGAUGAGCUAGGUCUACGUCCAUGACUAUUGAAUAUUAUCUUAUUAAUGUCAAUAAUAUUUUUAGCAUGAAAUAAUCGAAGCUAUUUUAUGACAAUGUGGCUUAAUGGGUGGAAUUUGAGCUCAAUAUUAAUAAGGGGUUUAAAUUUAAAUCUUAAGCUAGGUAAUGUCCAAUACCUGGCCCAACAAAAAGAGGCCCAUGGGCCUGGGCAAUAAUUGGGCCGACAAUCCCGCGUAGCAUUUGCGACUUCGUCUAAGGGCAUGUUUGGUUGGACAAAGCUCUGAGUAUGACGAAUUGGCGGAACCUCUUUUCGUGUAUACCGACUCCGACACUGCGUGUGGGAGGUGAAGUCGACAGCUCUGAUCAUACCGAAACUAGCAACCUACGCUGGAUCGAUAAAAGCAUGUAUGUACAUAAAUAUAAGGCUAAAUUACAAAAAAAUCUUUCUGUAAAUAUCUAUUUUUUUAUUUUUACUUCAAGACUUUCAAAAACCUAUAUUUUGCCCCCUUAAAAUUUUAAGUUGUUGCAUUUAAUCCCCCUUUAUCAGAAUUUCAUCACUAUUCCGUCCAUUUUUUGUAUUUUAUAUCGAAAAUGCGCUUCAAAAUGCCAGAAAUAUAUUUAAAAGUUAUUAUUUUUUUUUAUAGAAAAAAUAAGGGUAAUUUGAUCAUUUUGCCCUCUCCAUUAACAUCGUAUCCUCCGAAAAUAUUUCUGAAAUCUUACGAGGGCAAAAUGUAGGUUUUUGAAAGCUAAAAAGAAAAGGUGAAAAAACAAACGAAUAUUUAUAAAAAGAUUUUCUUUAAUUUAGCCUAAAUAAAAUGAUACACUGAUUAAACAACAUCUAAACCAGGAAGAAACUAAGUAACAUAUAAUAAUAGUGGAUAAUAAUAAUAAUAAUAAUAAUAAGAAGGGGUCUCCAUCCAGAAUCUGAAUCUUUGAGAUUCGUGCAAGUUGCAGGAACAUUGAUGAUGAUGAUGAUGAUGAUGCUUUGUGCCAACAUUUAAUUAAUGCUGCAACUGCAUCUCCAGAUGCGUGUGUACAUGAAGAACCAAGUAAAUGGUGUUAGCUUUGGUUGCUUUUGUUAUUAUUAAUGCUUAAAUUGUAAGAAAAUGAUGGGUCAGCUAUGGAAGAAUAAACAUGUGGCCCAUUAAUUUGAUGCCUCUCUUUGCCAAAACUUUAUAUACAUGUUCAUAUAUUUAUAUACUUUUUUUGAAUACAUCUCAUUUUAAAUUUUCCCGCUUUUUAUAAUAAAAAUACACAGAAAACUAUCGUCAAUAGCUGUUACAAAGAAUUACCAAAACAUAUUUUGAUAUUAUUACUAUUGUAUUUAAUAAUAAUUUAAAUAUUUUUAUUCCGCUAAUAGUUAAAAUUGCUUUGGCGCCUCUUAUUCUAAAAGCCAAUGAUAAUUAUCAUUGCCGAAUAAGUUUAUUGAACAAGACUACUAUGUGGUAAUUGGUUCUGCUAGAGCUAGUUUUGAUACUGCCAGAGCAAAUACGUUAUAUCUAGCUAUGAUUUAAAAUUUUGAAUUGGUAAGAAAAAUAAACUUAUUUUAGCGUGACAUAAAAGCAAGUAAGUGCGUAAUUUAACAAAUCGAAAAGAUACCGGACACAAUUCGAAAUAUUUUCUAAGUUAUGAAGGGGGAACAACAACGAAUACGAAUGUUUCACGAAAAGUAAAGAGGGGCAUAAUAAUUUUUUUGGCUAUAAAUCAUGAUUUUUGUUGUUUCAUCCACAUAGCUUUACUUUCGGUCGAAUCUAAAACUUUUUAAAGAUAACGUAAUUGACUUAAUCUCACUCACGCCAUAAUCAAUUACAAAAAAAAGAAUAAAAUAAUAAAAUAUUAAUCCAUCUUUCAUACAUCCGUUUUUUACGACAUUCAUAUGCUGCAAAACAAACAGUAAAAUUAGAAAAAUUCAGAUUGAACAAUUAUAUAAAAAAAAAAGCAGAAGAAAGUAUAAUUUUUAUCUAAAAACUCAAUAAAAUAGCUAUUUAAUAAAAAUUAAUCUUUUAAUUAAUCUCGAGUAAAUUUUAAUAUAUAUAAAAAUAAUAAAUAAAUUUAAUUCAUGGUACAAGAAUAGUACAGAGGUUAUCCAUUUACUAACUUUUAAUAUUUUAAUUUGAGUGAUUUUAUGAAAUAUAUUUGAUAUUUAUAUAUAGAAAAUAGAAUUUAAUAAAAAAAUUUCACUCAACUAAUUAGAAUAUUGGAAAUUAAAAAUUAAAAAUUAAAAAUCGAGGACUAUUAAGUAGUAACUAAUAAAAAGUAAAAGUUGAGGGGCCGCUUUUAAAAUAUUCUGGACUAUUAAUAGGGCUGGNUCUCUCUCUCUCUCUCUCUCUCCGUUCCAAAACCCUAGAAGGGGGUCUCGCGCUCUCGACGAUCGAUCUGGGCCGUUGAUUCGGCCUCUCCUCCGCGAUCUCCGCUUCUCCCCGAUGAGGCGGAGAGAGAGGGGAGGGAUCCUCGGGCGCGGUCCGAAACCCUAGCGCCACCACUCCGCCGCGAUCCGCUCUCUCUUGCUCUCUACUAUCCGAUUGAGGUCGGGGUUGCCCCAGAUCGGUUUUUUUCUGCAGAUUUUGGGGUAAAUUUUGUAUAUUAAGUUGAAGAAUCUGAGUUGAAGAGUCUUUCUGUGUCUUUACGAUCGUAUUGAGGUCGAUAUUGCGCUAAUUUAGGGUUUUGUAGCUCGAUUUGGGGCCUUCAGCAUCGAUCAUAUCGGUUUUUCGCUUUUUUGGUGCAAAUUAUAAGGUAAUUUUAGUAUAUUAGAUGAGGAAUAUCACUUGAAAAAUAUCACUAUCUCUCUCGGCACGAUCCUUUUGAGGUCAUUAUCGCCUUAAUUUAGGGUUUGUAGCUUGAUUUUGAACUCCCGCAUUGAUAGAGGUAAGUUUUUUUUUUUCCGCCUUCCUUCAUUUGGGGAAAUUUGUAGGUAAUUUUAAUAUCCUAUAUGAAGAAUCGCACUUUAAGUGGUCAUUAAUGUGUUCUUCUCGCAUAUUCGUGGAUUAAAAUAAAAAAUUUUGCCCCUGUUUUUGAUGUAUACAUGCGUAUAAGCUCACGCAAAUACAAAAAUAAACUUUUUUUCACUUGUUUAGUUAUUUAAUCAUUUAUUUAUUUACUAGGUUUUUAUAUAUGUUUGGUUGAUUCGAUUAUGAGGAUAUGUGUAAUUUUUUCUUUGUUAGGCCCCUUCAUCAUUUUUUGCUUUUCUAUUGUAUCCCUUCACAAUUAUUUUCUAUGUGGUGCUCAAAGGAAAUGAUUUGAUUCUAUGCUAAGUUUAUGAGUUAGUUCACUUACCUCCUUCUUUGGUAAUGUUUUAUUUUUGGAAUGUAUAAUAUUGUCGCGAACUGUUCUUAACUUGGAAAUUACUGCUUCAUUACUUGUUUCAGCAACCAGCUAGUUCCUUCUUCUGUAAGAAUGGAUAUUUAUGUAGGAGCUUUAAAUUUGAUUAGGAAAAGAAAAUGUGUUAGGAAUUUCGAUAUGAAUUUGAAUCAUUGUCCUACUAAUUUUGGGAAUAUAGUGUCUUCUAUUAAUAGUUUGGCUAGUCCAAAUUAUAUGAAGCUUUAGAAAUUAUUGACUAAUUUUUGUAAUCACCUCACUUGACUCAGAAGCUUCCAUAAAGGGAUGCUUUUCAUUUUGUGUUCAUAAAUUUUUAAUUUAUUGAAAAUGAUGAACGAUGGAUGAAUGUUGUUCAAACCUUUUCUCUAAACUUCAGGUAUAGCUGGGGAUUCGAGAUAUCUUUUUUUGGGACAAUUCAGCGCACAAAGCAUCAAGAGUUAUUGCAACUUGUAGAUGCAAAUACUGUUGUUAAUAAGGACAUUUUUUAAAAAAUAUUUUCUUUUUCACAAAAAUGGGGGCCAACUGCUGUGUGGCUGCAAGGGAUAAACCAUUGACAAGCGGAACUCGGAUCGAAGUUUCUGCUUACAGAAAUGUUAGACGCUCGCCUUCAUGGAGCUUUCGCUGGGACAAUCGCACGCACAUAGAGGAUGUAAUGAAUAAUAAUGCUCAAUUGUCUCAAUACAAUAGUGGAAAUGUUGGUUCUGAGAUUAAAAGCGGGGCGACAACAGAAACUGAUGGCCUCUCUGCUGUUGGAAGUCCAUCAGAUGGCUUUCACACUGUCAAGUGGCGCAAGACUAACAGUCUUACUGGAACAUCUGGGAAAUCUAAAACAGAUGCGCAAGACAAAGGUAGGUUUUUUGAUAAUUAUUCAUACACUUGUGAAUUGUUAUUAAUUUCAUGAGAGUAUUGAAUUCAUAUACAACUUGCAGUAUUUAGCUUCAUUAAUACAUGCUAGUGUAAUCUAAGGCGGUCACUAGAAUGCGUAGCCUCAAUCUCCAUGCAAUGAAGCAGCUAUUAGCUGGUAGCUAAUGUUUCCAACAUAGUUCAUCACAAUGCUAGAUGAUUAUGUGAUCAAACUUUGAAUAUAUAAGUGAUAUUUUGUAACACUGACAAUCAAACUUUGAAUAUAUUGCUUUAGAAUUUCCCCUAGUUAUUUUUGUACUUCAUUUGAGUUUUGUAAGAUUUAUGCAAUCACUAUUUUUGUGGUAGCUACUUCAAUUUCUAGUAGACGACAUACUUCCAUCCUGUGACUUUUUGAAAAUAAUUGAUACUGGUUAGUCAAUAACUAGGAAAGACAUUGAUAUUAAAUACAAAUUUGAGAACGGUUCACUACUGUAAAAUGAGAAAAACGAACAAGAUAACAGACCUGAUAAUAAAUAGUAACAAAUUAGUUAAGUAGUUAAUGGUUCAAUAAUAAAUAGUGACUAGUGAAUAAGUAAUGGUUCCAAUUCUCCCAAAAGUUUUUCUCAGAGUGGAAGUCGUUCUCUUUUCAAUUUCUAUUUACUUUUCAAUGGAAGGGGAAGGGAAGGUUUUAAUGUGUGCUUUAUCCAUAAGCUUUGCUUAUUAAUAUAUAUAUACAACUAUUUCGAGUCAUUGGUGAGUAAUUCAGAAAUUGCUAUUUCUGGCGGGGGGAUAAAACGAUGAACAUAUUAUAAAGUAUAAAGCCAACGUUCCCAUUUGUCAGCUUGGUAAUUGUAUUACCAUGCCACACGUUAUUUGAAGUUCACAUUUCUCUAUAUAUGUUUUUUUUCUUGCAUGCAAUUUAAUCUCACCAAUACGAUAUUAAAAAUUGUUAUACAUUCCGUCUGAUGUUUAUUUUAUUGUCCUCCAACAGAUCACUUUAUAGAAAGCAACUCUUCAGCAGUGGUAAGCUGCAUACACAGACCUUUCUUCUGUCACAGUUUUGUUUAGAUGUGUUUAUUGAAGGAUAUUUUACUUUCAAUUGAUGUUAUUUCUAAAUUCUUCGCAGGAAAAGGACUCUAUUAGGUCACCAGGAAUAGCAAGCACAGCUUCAGAAAUUAAGCCUUCAAUCUCUUUUCCUUCUACUCCAUCAUCUCUACCCUUCAGGACCACCGAUCCGUCCUCCUCUCGAAGCCAUUCUCUACCGUUUGACCUGACUUCUUCACAAAAAUCCCACCGAUCUCCAACAUACCAACUCUCCCGCCAAAUCUCGGACAGUAGAGUUCCAUCUCUAAAAUCCCUGAACUCGAACAGCUCCCCUGAGGGUAGAAGAAACUCCUUUGUACUCUCCGUCUGUAGCUCUCAUGGUGGCUCUUCUGAUGGCUGGUCUAUGCGGGCUUUCUCCGAGCUUUUGGCUUCUUCGCAAAGAGAGCUCUGGUCGCCGGACAACGAAACCCUAAUUUCCAUAAACAGCAAGGAAACAACAAGGUCAAAUACUCAACAAUUAGCACCGCCGCUUUCCCCUGAUAAGCAGAUAUGUUUAAUUUGCUCAAGAUUUUUAAAGGACAGGUCUCAAUGGAGUAGUCAAAAGAUAGUUUCGACCAAUGAACUCUCUGUGGUUGCUAUCCUGGUUUGCGGCCAUUCCUACCAUGCAGAUUGUUUAGAGAACAUGACGAUUGAAAGCGAUAAAUACGACCCACCUUGCCCUAUAUGCACUCAUGGGGAGAAGUUUGCAGCAAAAUUAUUUGGGAAAAUUGAAUUGAAGGGCAGAAACCGGAUCUCAAGGAGUGCGGUUGUGGAUAGCGAUGUGGGCGGUCGUCAUUCGCUCUCUAAGGAGCAGAAGAGAGGCGAGAGGGGAGCGAGUUCUAGCACGAAGAGUUCGUUCAGUCGGCCUUUCUUAAGGCGGCACUUCUCGCUUGGUUCACGGCCCUCAAGAUCCGCGCAGGAGUGCGAGUGUCCAAGAAAGAAGGGUUUCUGGGCUCGAUAUAUUAGGGAGUGAGCGAAGCUCUUUUGUGGAAGUGGAUAGGUGAGCUACUGCCUCUAGUGGCAUUUUUUUUUCUAAUAAAAUUCAGUAAUCUUCUUGACUGUAAUUGUUGAUUUUAUUGAUGAUUUAGGUACUUAUUCUUACCAUGGAGUGCGUAAGAAGUCGAUGAAUUUUCUGGUGGAAGCAUGCAAUCUCUUUAACAGAAUCAAAGUGGCAAGAUUUGAAAGAGCAUAUAUUGUAACCAUAUUGAAGUCUAUCAAAGUUCCCCGUAUUGUUCCCAUUUUGGAGACUCAGGUGCGCUCCGCAUGCUAGGAGGUCUUGGGCGCAGAAAUAACCUUUAGGAGAGGUGAGUAGCUACAGCCGAUUUAUGUACCUCAAUUGUCGAGGAGUUAGUCGGUUGAUGGAUAAAUAAUUUAGCCGGUCUUUAAUCAAGGCCAUUAGCUGGGUUGAAUGGUUUAGCCCGGCAUCUUCUGUAGUUCCAUUCUUUUCUUUUAUCUUAGUCGUAACCGCUAAUGUCUGUAGAUCGAUUGUUGUUUCAUUACACACUCUUUCAGCAAAUAGAGUAUCAGAAUUAAUUACCCUCUGUUAAGGAUGUAUUUGAAUUCCCCCCUGGCUUUAAAAACCAGCGGUUGUUUGUUUUCUUUGUGAAUUUAACUAAAUCUGCAUUCGAGUAAGAAUUUGCCAGGAAAUAUUUCUCCUAGUAAGAUUCCGAUGUUUUGUUUCGUAUCGUCGAUGUAUUGUGUUUGGUUAGAUGCUGUCGAAAGUAACAAAGUGAUUCCCUGGUGGUAAUUCAGGUUUGUGCAGUGCUCUAUAGACUCUGCUAGUCGUGCCGAUAUGAAGUUUGUGUCUAAUAAAUGUCAAAAUUUUUCAAAAUUACUUCUUUCCUAAGCAGAUGUUAUCUUCAGGCUUUUGUGUUGCAUCAAUUUUGGAUUUAUCACCAGCAGCAGUUGUGUUGUGUUUGGUCAUGUUAAUUAGAGUCGUGUUAUUUUUUCAUGAAUUAAACUACAUGAACGGUGUGAUUGGUCCAAUCUAUCACCUACUCCUGAAUAUUGUUGUUCACUUUUUAAAAUCAGAAAUUGCAUGAACACACUCAAGCAAGGAUUUAAGUGCCGUGGUACGGGAUUGUGUUUAAAACUUGCCGAUACGUUGCGUGCCAGGUUGUGUUGAUAUGUGCCGGUACAUUGCGUGCUGGGUUGUGUCGAUGUGUGUCGGUUAUAAAAAAUUUAUGUAUAUUCUAACUAUUUAAGAUGUAUUUUUAUCGGAUAUUUUGAACUUUAUUAAGAAAAUACUGACUAAUUUAAAAAAUAGAGGGUUUUAAACUGUGCUAUCGGCAUAGAAAUUGUAUCGUAUCGAUAUUUUAUUAGCACAAUAUGAUACGGUAAAUACAAUUGGUGCCAAAUAGAUAUUUAAAUCCUUGCACUCAAGUGCCUGUAUUGAAAAAGAAUACUUUGAAUCAUUUCGUUUUAUGUGUUUGAAUUUGUAAUAAAAAAAAAAAAAUUUGGGAACUUGUGUACAAGGCUAUACAGCAUUUUAACAUUCGGAGGAUAUUCUUGGAGAAAUAUUCAGGGUGUUUGACAAUUUUUUUUCCUCCAAAGUUUUACUAAAAAAGUAUAUAUGAAAAUGUGAGAAUUUUGACAUGCUAUAUGUAUCAUUCAACACUUAAUUCUAAACAUUCAUUCAUCAUUAAAUGGAAAUUAGUUCAAAAAAUACUUACCCUUGUUCACUACAUCACUAUGUAUUUUUAGAAGAAUAUUAUUAUACAGAAAUAUAUAAGACAAGAGGUCACUGUGUAUCAUUCUAGAAACAAAAGGAUCAAAAAGAGAGCUCUUACAUUAUUGUUAUAUGUACAAGACUACACCAACAACAUGCAUUAAUGACCAAACACAGCAAAAAAAAAGAGCUCUGUAAUGGCUAUACUCAAGUCAUAAUCUGUAACUCUCAAACCGUUAAAAAUCAAAACUACUGCAGGCCAAGAAAAUCCUAGGAGAAAGUAGCGUACACCAAGUAACAGAAAAUGGAGUACGAAGCGACAAACCGACGGUACCAAUGGUAGAAAUUUCCCUUUUCAGUAGUUCUUCCAAUUGAGCCGAUCUACAUGUCAUAAACUCCUUUGAAAGUUUCUAUGAAGCCGUGAAUCUGUAAGUGUUUCGAAAAGAAAGAGUGAGCAAACGAACGAUGCAUCCAUUAGCUAUAACCAAUGGAAGAAAAACUUCCUGUGAAACGGCUUGCGUAUUGGAACAGAACAUAAAGUAUUAGACCAACUAUUGCCACUGUAAAAGCACCAACAAACAAACGCUUCAAACCAGCCGAUGUACGAUCUCUCAGUGGCACAAAGAAGCCCCGUAUGACGCUCCUGUUGUAGCUAAUGCCGUUGAUCAAAGUACCUGACUUUGGUGAAUCAUCAUCGGAGCCAAGUGAGCUCUUCGACUCCGUGAUCUCUUUAACUAGAUCAACAAGGCUAUAGUGAUCGACAAGCUUGACGGACUGAUUAACUGACUCCGCCUCUCUCGUUUCCAUUUUGUGAAGUUGGACUUGAAGUCUGCUCUUAGUGCCGGAUGCCUCAGCGACUUUUUUAUGCCUUUUUCGUAUCUGAAUUCCCGCGUCGUUGUUUUCGUUCAUGUGGGUCAAAGCUUUACCGUCAAAGAACUCAUCUUCCAAGUUGGUUGCAGGAAAAUUAUGAUUAGAUUCUGUUAGCCAGUUACCAUUAGAAGCGAAAGGAGCAUCUGUGUUUCCCAUUGCAAGAUCUUCGAACAAAUUGUAGUUAUAGCUAUCAGGAUUAGAGUACAGAAUACUGUAGAUAUCCUCCUCCAAUAGGAAGUUCGAGUCGUCUAGAAUAUUCUGUUCAACACUAGAAUCGACAGGCUCCAACUUUGGUUCCACGGAAGUGACACCUUCCUGUGAGAUCUUAAGAACAGAAUGAUCAGCAUUUUCGCAGUCGAUAUAUACAUAUUGAAGACUACGAUUUUGGCUGGAUAGUUAUUAGUAAAAUGUCCAGGAAAAACUAUUUACAAAUAAGCAUUGCUCAUUUUCAUCUAUUGUGCCAACUACAGGAACAUCUACCAAGUCUUAGUGGGAUGUAUUUAAUGGUUAAACAAAUACUAUUCAAGCUAUUAAAGCUAUUGCAGGUUAGAAUAUACCUCUGGUUCAACUUUUAGAUCUUCUGGAGCGGUGAUUCCAGAAAAGUUGGGAUCCAAGAGCUCAUUAAGCCAAUCUUCGAUAUCAUCAACAUUAUCAGCUGGGCUUGUUGAUUUGUGGCAGAUCACUGAUUCGGUUGUCUCAUUUGGCUGCUGCGGGUGGUUAUUGACCUCCUCAGGUAGAGGCGAAUUAUCGGCUUCUGACGGCAAUCCGUUUCUCUUGGUAACACGACAUAGAACGUACGCAUCCUGUUGCAUAAACAACAUUUAACAUAAGGGUUAACCUGCAAUUUAACAUGAUUAAGUUUAUUCUUAAGUAAGUUGACAUAUUCGAAGUAAAAUUAUUGUUACCUUCAUAUCAGGGGCAGCUUUACACUCAUUUUCAUCGAUGUAAUAUUCAUGCAUAAUCCAAUCCGUCCGCUUUCCAGAAGGGGGGCGACCUUCGUGGAAAACUAAGGUUUUCUUGCUCCCUAUAACCCGGUUCUGAGACUUGAUGUUCCGGUCCUUUCCAGUUGAUUUCCAGUAACCCCCUUCGGUCGCCCUAUUCGAUCGUGAGCCAUUGGGAUACUUUCGGUCGCGAGAAGUAAAGAAAUGCCACUUGCUAUCUCUGGUCGGGAUUUUACAUUUUGCUGCAAAAAGGAAAAUUUUUUUAAAAAAGAACGAAACAAAAGAGAGAAAGAAAUGGUAAGAAUCCAAAACACGCGAAAUGUCGAACCAAUUCCAUACUUUACUAUCUAAAAGCUAUGUAGAAGCUGCCAUAGAGAUAUAGGCCUUGAAGCUACUUAAACAGGAAAAUAAAUAAAAAGAAAGCACCUAUUAUCUGAUGCAACCAGUAUAAAUUUAAACUGCAUAAGAUAAAUUUAUCCCUCGCAAUCUUAAUUAGUUCUACCCAGAAGCUUACUCUGGUUGAACUCAAAAGUAAAAUAGGUCCCAAAAAUUAGGAGAGCAAAGAAAAAUUUCGGAGGAAGUCGAACUUUCUCCAUUUCUCAUAUCAUUAGAUCAACUCAUUGAGCUUCAUAGGAAGCGAUGUUACGGCAGGAAGCGAUGUUACGGCAUAGCAUUCGAGUUCACUUACCAGGUAAAUCCCAUGGUUCAUGUUUAUAUAUGUCCACCUCUGGUAUAAUAUUGAAGUCGAUUUUCUGGCCAUGUACUUUCCUCUUCAGAUAGUGAGAUAUAAGUUCUACGUCGGUCGGAUGAAACCCGAAUCCAGGCAGCAGCGAGGUGGCGCUCAGAGACUCCAUUUCAUAAUAUGUUCUUCAGCUGGUAACAAGAAACUACAUUCAUUAAAAACCAAAUAAGACUAAUACUCGAAACUUACAGAAUAAAUUUAAAUUUCAUGUCUUAGAAGCAAGCAUAUCAAAAGUUAAAAAUAGGAAAUGCGAAAAGCAUAAGGUAUACUUCAAUUCAUCUCCUUUCGUAGCUUCGACUAAAUUACUCGGAAUAAAUAUUAAAAUUUGCAUCUGAAGAAACAUGUUACCAUGGAUUAGUCAUACAGCAGCAGAUGAUGUAAAAGCAGCACAAGGUAUCAGCAACAAAUUGCGAAUAAAAAGAUCAUAAAAUAUCCUUCUCCAGAUUCAAAAUUUUUCAGAGAGUAAAUUCAUGAUGAUUGAGGAGGAAAGAGGAAAAAGGAGUUUAAUUGCAACAGUAACUAAUCCAUCCUCAAACAUUGGUUUAUUUAGAUGAUUCUAAAUGAUCAUGAACUAUACAUCAAUUUAAUGUGGUGAGGUUGAUUGAGGGAGAGAGAUAUAAGGAAAUGAAUUGGAAAGAGAACAACAAUAAAAUAUCAAAUUCCAGUUAUAUCUAAGCUUCAGUCCAAGGGUUGACCCAGAAAAGAAAAAAUGUGUUUACUUGGUAGCUAAGUUUAGUAAAUAAUAUCUAUUAGGACCAAAGAAAAAAAAAAGUAACACAAUAAAAUUCCAAGGAACUAAAAAACAAAAUUGUAGCUAUUUCAUUAUUAGAGUCAGCACCAAAUAAGCGAAAUCACGAGGAAAAGGACUCCACCAAAUAAGCGGAAUCACAAGGAAAAAGGGAAAAUCGCAUAUAAAUUAGUCAAAAAAGUACAAAACAAAUAAUUUGAAGCGCAAAUUAACAAAAUUUUACAACAGAAAAGGGAAAAAUCACAUAUAAAUUGGUCGGGAAAACAAAUACAAAAAAAAAUAAUUUGAAGCGCAAAUUGACGAAAUUUAAGAAUACAAAAAAAAAAUGUUAAGAUGACCAACGAAUCAAAUCCUCUUCAAUCACCAAAACCCCCCCACAAAAAAAAGGAAAAAGCUUUUUUCCUAUACCCUAAUAAUCCAUCUCAAAAAACCCCCCAAAAAACACCAAAUUAAAUCGAAUUAAAGAGAAGGACAUAACACAUCAACAAAUACACCUCAAAAACCCCUAAAAAUUCACCAGAUUGAGCCCCCAGAAUAAGCGUAAAAAGAGCAAUUGCCCCUCUCCUAGGGCAUCGUCGAUAGAAUUCGCCCACAAUUGCACCAAAAUGCCACCUUUAAUCCAAAAAAAAAAAGAAAAAACCUUUUUCCCUCGCAACCCAGUAAACCACCAACAAAACCCCAAAAAAAUCCCCCAAAAGACCAUCAAAUUAAAUCGGAAAAAAAAAGCGUAAGAGAGAGAGCAAUCGCCCCUCACCUAGGGCAUCGUCGAUAGAAUUCGUCAACAAUUACACCAAAAUGUCACCUUUAAUCCAAAAAAAAAACCUUUUUUCCCUCACAACCCAGUAACCCACCAACAAAAACCUAAAAAAAUCCCCAAAAACCAUCAAAUUAAAUCGGGGAAAAAAAAAAGCGUAAAAGAGAGAGCAAUUGCCCCUCACCUAGGGCAUCGUCGAUAGAAUUCGUCAACAAUUACACCAAAAUGUCACCUUUAAUCCAAAAAAAAAAACCUUUUUUCCCUCACAACCCAGUAACCCACCAACAAAAACCUAAAAAAAUCCCCAAAAACCAUCAAAUUAAAUCGAGAAAAAAAAAAGCACAAGAGACAGCAAUCGUUCCCUCACCUAGUGCAUCGUCGAGGAGGAGGUGAUGGGGGAGAGGGGAGCAGGUGGAGGUAGGAGUCGUCGACGACGACGAAGUCGUUGUUGCGUUCCCCCCUCCUCCCCCUAUUGUAUUAUAUUUCGCAGUAGCGUGAGAGAGAGAGAGAGAGAGAGAGAGAGAGAGAGACAGUGUGUGUGUGUGUGAGAGGGAGCGUUUGAAUGCGAAAGUGUCCCUCGCUUUCCUCCGACGCGGUUUUUAAGCGCGGAUGCGGUCCCAUCACCAUACCCGGUGAGGAUACCGCCCACUCAUGCUCUCCCGCACUACACGGCAUGUUUGUUUCCCCGAAGCUGAAAAUGAAGUUUAAAUUGAAUUAGAAUUUCGAGUGAAUUAAAUAUCAGAUGAAUGUUUUUUUAAAAAAAAUUAUCAAAUAAUAUAUUAUAGUAUUUUGGACAUAUUGAAAAUUUCGUAGUGAAUUAAAUUUCAGACCAAAUUUAAAUUUCAAAGUUAUAAAAUAACAAGUUUAAAAUUUAAAAACUAACAAUAUCAAAUUUAAAAUUUAAAAUUUUAAAAUAUCAAAUUUAAAAUUUAAACUUUAAUAAAAUUUAAAAUUUUAAUUUAUUAAUUAUAAUUAUAAAAUUAUAAAUUUUAAAAAUUUUAUAUUUAAAUUUAAACUAAAAUUCUCUCUCUCUCUCUCUCUCCACUCAAGUGGGUUGGAACAAGCUUGUUCCAACCCCGGGUGGGAACAAGUGUUCCCAUCAUAACGGGUUCCCACCAUGAAAAAAUUGUGUUUGGGUAUAAAGGGAGGAUAUCCCUUUAUCCCCCCUUUAUACCCGAGGCAAACGGGGUGUAAUAGAAUUUUUUUUCCAUCCGAGGUGAGACCAAGACUACUGAGACAUUACAAAUUCGUGGUAUAGUAUUUCGUAUUGUAUAGUACUUAAACCUCACGCUUUCGGCUGAUGUUCGUUUAUAGUACCAAUUGUAACGAUUUGGUCUCGACCCGUUAAUAAUAAUAACUCGUUGAGUCUAAAUCAUUAGCUUAAAAUUACACUCAGUUAUUAUUACUAAAUUAGAUGACUCUUGUAUUUAUAAUCAGAACCUAUUUUCCAUCUAAGGUGAAAUUAUUAUUAGGACAUUACAAAUAUAAUGAAUUUAAAAAUAAAAAAGCAAGACAUUUGACUAAUCAAAAGAUGAUGUCACAAUUCAUAUUUAAUAAUAAUGUAUGUAUGUUUAAAUUUUGAAGGCCACAAAGAGGAAGAGUGGGAGCCACAUUGUUGUUAGAAAAAGUUAUGAGGAAGAUGCAUAGAAACAACCUUAGAAGGACUUGGGGGCUCCACCACUCAAUCCAUAAAGAAUCUUUCUUGCUUGUGGGAUUGGCUGCUCCAAAGAAGCAGUUAUUUGCCUUUUGUGGGAUUGGCUUUUGAGGUGCUUCAAAUUGCUUCUGCUCCCAGAAGCACUUAUUUGCCUUUUGUGCUGAAGUUAGCUACUUAUGUUUAGUUUUGCAGUAAAACCAAAGGUUUAAAAUUAGAGCCGCUGCUUUUAGUUAUCGAUUUCACAUAUGGGGAAGCUCAAAAUUUUUCUAUUUUCAAGCAUUUUAUCAGAGCAAUUAUUGCUUAAAAUAGAAGUAGAACUAGGAUAAAACAAGCUCUCAGAGCUGUAAAGGCGGAGAGUUGUGUGUUGUAUGUCGGUAACGCACAUCAGUCUAAUUUCUACAAGCAAAAACUUAGCUACUUAUAUUUAGUUUUGUCGUAAAACUAAAGGUUUAAAAUUAGAGCUGCUGCUUUUAGUUAUCGAUUUCACAUUUGGAAAAGCUCAAAAGUUUUCUAUUUUCAAGCAUUUUAUCAGAACAAUUAUUGCUUAAAAUAGAAGUAGAACUAAGAUAAAACAAGUUCUUAUGAGUUGCAAAGGCAAAGACUUGUGUGUUGUAUGUCUGUAACGCACAUCGGUCUAAUUUCUACAAGCAAAAUUCAAAAUUAGAAAUCAAAAUGAGUUGUUUUUUUCUUUUUAAGUUCCUUCUCACUAGGUGUUUAAAUAGUUAAUUAAAAAAAAUAUUUAUAGUAGAAUAUGAUUUAUUAAAUGUAUUCGUACUGAUCCUUACGUGUGUAGAGUGGAAACAAGACAAAAGUAAUGCCUAUUUAGUUUCGAUACUCUGGUAACUGCUAAAUCGAUUGAAGUAAGACGACUCAGUGAAUAGUACUAAAACAAACUUUGGUUUAGUGGGGCUAAGAUUUAUAAUUAGAAAUAAAAGAGAAAAAAGAGGAAUGGAAAAGGAACAAAGAAAAGAAGAGAAGGGCUAUUUUCUAUCUAUGGUUCAUGAUUCAUUUCCAACCACCCCAAUGAGUGGUCAAAGGUGGAAGUUUUAAGUAACAUAAUGUGAUGGGACACAAAACAAAAUUCUCCUAUUGACUAAAAGAGAGCACUAUUUAUUAUUAUUAUUAUUAUUAUUAUUGCUUAAUUAGAACACCAAGCUCCAUUAUUAUGCACCCACUUGUUUUGAGUACCCUCCAUAUUUGUCCACUACAAUUUGAUGAAAAUAGCAAUGUAAUUUGUCUCAAUUUUUAUUACAAAGCCACCACACACAUUAAUAAUGGCAUGGAAAAGGAAAUUAAUAGCAAUUAUAACAAAGAGUUGGAGUUGAAAAAUACAAAAGUUUCAGUAGCAUGCACACACAAAAGAUUUAGCAAAAUUAAAGCAAAUAACAAAAGGAAAAAAUUUUAGACCCCCCCAAAAUCUUAAACCUAAAAUAAGCUUAUAAAAAUUUAAGCUACUCCUAUAUAUAAAAAGAACAAAUAUUUAUAUUGGACACUAGUUCUAGAAGUAUGAAACAUAUGCUAGAGUAAGUAAGCGUAGAAGAUACCAUAGAUUUUUUUUUUUUUUUGCCUUCUAUUUUUAAUUAUCUAUGGACUAAAAUUUGGUGCUAAAUCAAUCAAAAAGAAAAAGAGGGAAAGAAAAAAAAAAGCUUUAUCUUCUUCUUCUUCUUCUACAAGAAAACUUGUCACUCCUUUUUGUUUGGCAACAUCUACUAAUGGGGCAGCUUUAAUUGGAAUAUUAUGUUGUUGAUGUAACAACUUUUGGUUUCAUAAUAGUGAAGUGCAACCAACCAAUGUUAGUAAGACAAAAAAAAAAAAGUCAUUUUCUCUUGAUAAAUUAAUAUGAAAAAGAAAUUUUAAAAAAAUCAUAGUGCCCCAUUGUGGGGGCAGUAUGAAAACAAUGAUAUGCUACAUGAGUACCAUAAGAUCACUUUAGUUGCUUUUGUUAAAGUUUGAAGCCAUUAUCUCUAAGAAGCAUUUUUGGAAAAGCACAUGCUUUUUUCAGAUAUUGGUACAAAAAGGAUGAGAAAAAGUAAAAGCAUCACUAUGUUUAAAUCUUUUCAUUUGUGCUUUAUAUUUUAUUCUUAUCUUUUCAUUCAUUUUAUAUUGAUUGAUUAGAAUAGAUAGUGUAGAAUAGCGUAUCUUACCGGAACACUAAGUGGUAUAGAUUUUGAUUUAAUUAUGGUGCUUUCGAUUUUAGUGUACAAUAGUAUAAAGAUUUUAGAACGUACAGAAACUAUAUAAAUUGUAAUCUAUUUAUAAAUGUUGCGUUUGAUCUGCUAUCUUAUAUGUACUGUAAAAUUUAUGCACACCAGAUUGAUUCUGGUGCCCAUCAAUUCUUAAAAAAAAAAGAAAAAAAAAGAGUACAAUUUCUCUCUAGUCAAGUGUCUAGAAAAAGAAAAGUUAAUUGCCCCACCUAAACUUUUGCUUCUUUGUAGUCAUCUAAAUUUUUCAAAAUUUUAUCUAUCUAAAACUUCUAAAGUUUUGCAGUCGAUCGUUUAAUUUUACAUUUUAUCAAUUUAAAUUGACUAAUAUCAGCCAAAUGAUCAAAAAAUAAUAAUGAACGCAUACCGAUAAUCUAGCAAAAUCUUUUUAACGGUAAAAUCCAAUCUUAAUAAGUAUGUAUAUAAAUUAAUCUCUAGCAUUUGUUUUUACAAAUCAAAUGUGAGAAUUAUUGCCAAUUUUAUCCACAAAAGUAUUCUUUGACAUUAAAUUGAUGAAAUAUGAAUCUACCUUUUAAAAGUUGGAACGUCGAAUAUAAAAUUUUAAAAGUUUAGAUGCCAAUCUGCAGUAAAAAUAUAUAGAACUUACCUGAAUUACGCACCAUUUUAAAUUGACUAUUUGAACUUUUAAAAUUUAUGAUUUUACUAUUCAACUUUUCAAUUUGUUUGAUUUCAGGCAGACAACAGUCUUUUAACUUCAAAAUUUAAGCUAAUUAUUUAUUUUAAUAAACUUAUAGCUACGAGAAUUACAUAAAAUAUGCUGACUAAAUUUGUAAAGAUAAACGACGCAUUCAAAUUUCAAAGUUAAAGUGCCGUUGACCGACUCAAAUCAAAUAAAUUGAAUUAUUAGAUAGUAAAAUUAGAAUUUUGAAAGAUCGGAUAGUUUUUUUUAGAAAGAGAGAGAAAAAUAACACGCUAUUUGCUUCUUUCACUGAGCAAUUGAAUUUACCUGUACGAAGGAAAGUUGUAAGGGCCCCGGGAAAAGCUAAAAGGCAAAAGAAAAAGGAUCUAAAAAGAAAAGCAAAUAUAGGCGUCGAAACAAAGAGUCUAACAAACAGAGACGUUACCAGCUCUGGACAGUUGAAUCAAAAUACUCUAUAAUUCCAGUAAUGCGUUGAAUGACCUUUUAGUUCAGUAAGCAAUGGCAGAUUACAUCUGAACCGUCGGAUACGGUGGACGGCUGAGAUGACGUAUAAUGUAUUCCGGUGCGUACAACGGCGCCGUAUAAUUAAAGCUUCAAAAAAAAAAAAAAAAAAAAAAAAAAAAAAACNNNNNNNNNNNNNNNNNNNNNNNNNNNNNNNNNNNNNNNNNNNNNNNNNNNNNNNNNNNNNNNNNNNNNNNNNNNNNNNNNNNNNNNNNNNNNNNNNNNNUCGGCGGCGAUGGACCCGAUCACCCCAUUGAUGGCGACAUCAAGUCAGGACGCCAUGGCGAUGCGGCUUUGUUGUGCUGCAGCUGCCUCAGAGAGGUGAAGGUGAUGUCGUACGAGUUGAAGGAGUUGAUGUUGCUCUGCAACUUUACGCGAGUUGGACGCAUAGAAGUCAGACCGCCGCAGCACACGAGUUAGAAGUGUCGACGUUGGGCCGCGGCAACGUGAAAGUCACAGAUUGCCAUAAUACUGGAGCUUGGGGUGGCGGCGACGUCGGGAUGACGACGACGAAGGAAAACUUCUUUUCCUUUCCUCUGUUGACAUACGUAAGAGAAAAAGAGGAAGUUGGGGUCACAUGGUAAAACAUAGGUUGAUGAUGAUUUUUUUUUUUUUAUCUCUUCCUCUCAUUUCUAUCCACUCCUCUUUUUAUAAACUGUGCUUAAUGCUAGACGAGCCCGUUAUUGUUGGGUUAGUAGUGGAGUGGGUGAUGGGAUAAUGGGUGGUUAAUGAAUGGUGGAGUAAUGGGAUAGUUAAUAGAUAGUGGAGUAAUGAGGAGUUUGGAAAGUUUGUUUUAGAAUUGAACGGGUUCAUCAAAUGAGAUAAUACUGAGCAGUGGGAAGUUGUCAGGAUUUCUUUUUAAUCUCUCUCUCUUGGCAAGCCCAACAUUAAUUGAAUAUAGGUCCAAAUCUGCUGUAUUGAAAGGUGCCUCCCAUUAGUAAUUUAUGCACGAACCUAAAUAUUGGCCCAAUAAAAUAUAUGUUUGUGAGAUCCCUGGUGUUUGGCUGUGGGGACUUGUCGACAGCUCUGGAGAGUGUCGGGACAAGUCUGAGUCGUGUUGGCGUCAAAUAGACGCAAAACGCACUCUGUGCGACGCGAGGGCAGCAUUCAGCGAAGGAAUCUGCGAAACAGCAGAUUUUCCUGCUUGCUGUACCGGUACAAGAGUAUGCUGUACCGGUACAACCAGCGCGGGGAAUGCUUGCUGUACCGGUACAAGGGUUUUCUGUACCGGUACAAGCUACGCGCACAGAUUUAGCUGCUCUCGGGUUGGCUCUUGUACCGGUACAGGAGCCCGUGUACCGGUACAAGGGAGUAGGUAAAGGGCUAAAACGGUAAAAUCUCACCUCGUUUGUAUCUCCCUCACCUCCCCUCUCCUUUUAAGUGUCCGAGCAGAGAGAGAGAGAGUGAGAGAGAGUACUUCCUGCUCUUCUCCAUCUUCUUCUUCUCCUCUCUCUCUCUAGGUGUUGGUGGAGAGUCCGGUUGGGGGAUUCCGUCGCCGACGUCGCGCCGCGAGCCGUUCGAGCGCGCUUGCUGCCGGAGCUUUACGAGGAGGCCGGGCGAGGGAGCGUCUUCACUGUUCUUGACGUCGCGCCGAGGUUCGACGCUGUCGAGGUGGGUGAUUCGGCGUCUUUCCUGGAUUUUGGGCAAGUAUUAUUAUUUCUACUCGGUUAGUAGCUGUUUUGCUGAAAUCCGCCGUCGACUGUUCGUAUUUCAGCUCGUUCUCCGCGUAGGAACGUCGGAUCGCGACGAGGCUUGGUUCGUUGGAUUCGGGACUUCGAGAGGAAUCCACGAAGCCCUCACUUGCCAGAUUUGGUGAAGGUUAGCUCGGUCGAAUCCCGUUCCUACUCAGCUGCUGUGAAUUUCUGGACUGAAUCGAGGAUCCUUAAUUGUUUAGCUUGGCGUUAGCUCGUCCACCGGACUUGGAGGUCCCCAGUUGAUCCAGCAGAGGUUGUCCUGGUUCGAGGCUUCGUUCGCUGCCUGGAUUUAGCUUUUGAGGUGGGUUACAUCGGCUUUACUCCUAAGUUCUUAUUGGUCGACAUGUAUAGAUCUUGAUUUCGGUAAUUAAUUUUAGCUCAAAUUCAUGGACUAUAUGUAGAUUGUGAAAUCUGAAUUUUGGAGCAUGUUGUUUUAAAUUAAGUAGAUUAUACAUGUUGGACUUGGAAAUUGAAUUAGGAGAAAACCUGCGAUUUGGACCUGUCACCUGUAUAAACUGCCUGAUUUAGCUCUAGGAGCCGUUAGAAAAUUGUACUGUCGCAGUAUUGUCGAGACGAGUACUCCAGGUAGUUUAGAAUAUAUUUACACUCGUGCUGGUUCGCCGAGUGGAUUUUUACCGGGUCGUUCAGGUUAUUUCGGACUGUUGGGUGCCGUCAGAGUUGACGGUGGACCCGUAUCGCCUUUUUGGCGUCAGAUUGUGCCGAGGGCACGUUACCUGUUGGUUGUUAGACCAGUUUAGAGUCGGUUUCUUGACUUUGGCUUUCCAGAGCCUGUUUGAGCUCGACAGAGAUACGCUGCAUACUCGGUUGGGUAGCGCCCACGAGUGCCACUCCGGAGUCAGGCUUGUGCUUUUGCGUUGGUGUCGCUCAUGCCAGUUGGACUUGCUCUCCACGGACCAGUUAGAGUGGAUAGAGCCCGAUAGUCGCAACGGGGCAGGGACGGGUGUAUUCACAGUCCCGGGGACGGGUAUGCUUACAGUCCCGAUUUGGAUUGGGUCAGAUUUGACAUUUCCUACAGUUGGUUAGUGUAGAGCAUGAUAGUGUAGUGGAUGAUAGCGGUAGAGUGUACUUCCUGCUUUUCCUUCUAUCCUUGCUCCCUUCUGUAGACUUAGUGGGUGACCGAUGUCGUUUUGGGCGGUACCCACUGAGGACUACUUGUUCUUACAGUAGUUCUCACGCCCAGUUGUUACUUAUGUUUUGCAGAGCCACAGGUGCCGGCUGCUGCAUCUUCCGCCGACCAGGAUCGAGGCAAGGGCGUUGUGAGCUAGAGCCCUACCCGACAGUCUGAGCUAGUGGCUUUUCCCUCCUGCAGGUAGUUGUUGUUUUGGAGUUUAUGUAUAUAGUUGUUUAACUCGCCAGUGCGAGUAACCUUGUAUUUUGGAUUCUGGCUAUGUAUAUGAAACUCAGUUAUUUAGUUUUUGAGCAGCUCUAUGCUACUGUUUGUAGUAUCGUUUUUCUACAGGUUCUUUGACGCUUCCUAUACAGGGGAAAUUCCUUUGUAUACGGCAGAUCUGUCGGCGUGCCCGGGGGACGAGACAUCCGGAUUGGACGUGAAAAGAUGUAGCAUAUAAUCUUGUAUUGUUAUAGUCCCAUCUUUUAAUGAAUCUAAGCUCAGAAUUUGGCUUCCAAAUAUACUUAGUUUUCUCAUCUACUAUAUGUUCUGAUAAAAGGGCCGCCAAUAAAAAUUUAUAUAUAAAUAAAAUGUCCGCCUUUUUUAUUUUUUAUUUUUUAAUUUUUCUUGCAUCUUUGAAAGGUUAGUUUCUGAUUUCAAAGUGGUUAACAAAUAAUGAAGCUGAAUUGAUCUUUUACACUUCUACUCUUCAAUUUUAACAGUUGAAGACUUUUUUUUUGAAGAAAAACAUUAUUUUAAAAGUGAUGACAAAAGGAUCAAUUUCACUUAUAAAUAAAUAGAACAUGCUAUUUUAACGGUAAACUAAAGCGCAAUAAGAAAAUAUUUAAAAAUUUAUUAGACUUUUUGUAAGGAAAAUUUAUUAAAUAAAAAGUUGAAUUUUUAUACCAGAUUUAAUGAAAAUAUUUUAUAAAUUCUCACUAUAAAUUUUUUUGUAGAAGUAAAUACUUCUGUAUAAUAAUAAAAACCCCAAAUAUUUAUGGCUAUCUCUAUCUUCAUGGUUCAACUAUAUUAAAUUUUGCCUCUAUAAAGGAGUUAAGUACUGAACAACAAAUAAUUUUGUUUCCCUCUUGAACUAAAGUUGGCUAAAAGUGUUAGAUAGUAAAUUUUAAUCUUGUUUGGUAUUUCAGUGUUUUUCUUAUUUUCUUAGCACCAAUAUUUUCACCACAAUAGAGCUGGUCCCGAUUUCUUUUUCCCCAACUCUUUUCUCCUUUUUUUUUUCGCCGAGAAGUUCUGAAGGAAUCCUAUUUUGUUUAGUCUAACAGCAAAAAAUAAAAUUAAAAAAAAAUUAAAAAAAAUAGUGAUUGGAUCUUUAUGCUAAGUCAGUCGAUAUAAUUUAAUCGUAUUCAGAAAAUUCAAAAUCGCUUAGAAUUAUCCUGAAUUUUUUUAACAAGUAUACCUGUAAAAACCACAGCAUUAAGGCAAUUCCAGCUAUUUUAACCAGACGUUAAAAAUUUUAUAAAUAUUUUUGUGACAUUAAUAUGAUCGAAAGAAAUUAAAUUGAUAAUGACAUAUAUAUAAUUAAUCCUGGAAAAAAUAUCCUGAAACAUGCCGCGUGUAUUCUUCUUAUCUUAUUAGGCAAAAGCCAAACGUCACUAAUAAUCAAGAAAAAAUUUAAAAUUGGAGCAAUAUACCAGAUGCAUAUCUAUAUAUACUUAACUAAAAUUUUAUAAUAUUAAAUAACAAAAAGCUAACAAUAUAUACCUAAUUUGUAUAACAAUGCCAUAAUGAGUUUGUGUAGGGUAAAAUUAAAAAAUUGACCAACAUCCAGUUAAGCACAAUGUGGAAAACAAACCACCGAUAAAAUUUGAGUUCACAACUUUAAUUUAUAAACCGAACAAUCAUCAUAUGUAAAUAUUUAAAUGGUUGAAUACAUAAUGAAUAAACCAAAAUCAAUAUAGCAAAUAUUUUCAAAGUACUAAAAAUACAUUCUAAAGAUAUAUAACAUUAAAUCAACAAUAUAUUAGCUAUACUAUUACAGAUUAGCGGACUUUGAACAAACCCUUUUUCUCCCUCAACUAGCAAGUCUAAUGCGACCUGCAACACAUAUAGCUAUCAUGACGUUCAUAUCAAAAACAAAGUGAAAUAACCAUACCAAUAAGAAAGAUUUGGUAGCCAACACUACAACAAAAUAUAUUUUUACCGAUGCUUUUUAGACGACGCUUUAUUCUAACGUCUUUAAUACUUGAUAUAUGCUGACGCUAUGAUUAAAUGUCGCCAAUAAACAAAUAUCUUGACGUCGCUUCCAAAGCGUCGUAAUUAAUUACAUUAUUUUUUAAUUAUUUUAAUUAAGAUUUUAAUUAGCUUAUUUCUAA
rnacentral:lncRNA from 1 species